rnacentral:lncRNA from 1 species
AUAAACAAGGAUCCGCCCUUCCUAUUUUUCUUCAGCUUCUUUCUUACAUACCUGUGUUUCAACACUCGGAUUAUCUCUCCGGCAACGUCUUCCUGGUGGUGGAAGUGGUGAACACUGAAGGCUAAGUAACAAGUUAGCAAAAUGGGACCUGGAGGGCCGGGAGGAGGGCCGGGAGGACCUGGUGGACCGGGAGGAUGGGGAGGAGGACCUGGUGGUUGGGGUCCUGGCCCCGGAGGACCUGGCGGAUUUGGGCCUGGAGGUCCUGGUUGGGGUCCGGGACCUGGAGGUCCCUGGGGCCCUGGAUUUGGAGGUCCUGGUUUUUGGCCUGGUGGGUUCUUUGGCGGCUUUGCAGAUGGUUUGUGCAAUAUGAUAUCUUCCUGGUAAGCAAUCAAAUCUUUACUCAAUUCCGGUAUAGUUAAAUGCGGUUUGAUUGAGGUUAAAUUUGAUUGGGAUUGCAGCUUCUACUGUCUUUGCUGUUGUUGGCUACUACAAGACUGCUUUGGUCGACGCCCUGGCUAUGGUCCUCCCCCUUUCUAAUCAUCUGCUGGCUGCUGUUGCUAUACAUGUGUUUUCUGUAGUGCCUUGUAAUAAAUUUAAUAAUCUAGUUUUAAGCUUUUUUUCGUUGCUCUUGCUUCCGCCACUAUUUUCAUCUAUUACCAUCCAAACUUUUAUCAAAAGUAAUAAAUGUGACUGAUUUCCAUUAGGGAAGUUCAUUUUCUUUUUCUAGAAAACCUUUACAUCCACCUCAGCAUGCCCAAAUGACACAGUCCAAUUCUUUGUUCAAAAGCAAAAACAAAUAAAUCCACAAAAUGUUUUCCCUUACUCUGAUGUUCAUAACUCAAAAAGGUAUUUGAAUGUUCUUUUGGACAAGUUGUGCAAAAUCUAUUGUUGCCUUCAUAUGACCCAGUCUAAUGCUCUAUUUGACACGGCCAAAAUAUUUACAGAACUUGAAAUGUAAAUAUCAAUAAUUUGCCAACAACAACUUCAGAUUAACAUUUGAGAGGCACAGUUUGAGAAAUGAGGAAGUGCACAUCUAAAAUGGACAAGAGUCUCCUACAAGGGAGCUCCCUUAACAAAUUCGAGAAACCAUUCAACAGUUUUUAGUUCAUCUUUUUUUCCGCUCAACAAUCAAAGAGACAAUCAUGUUAACAAAGCGCACAACCAACAUAACGGCCAUGUCUCGCUCUUAAUACAAACGGUUAUAUGUACAGCAAAGAACUAAAAUAAAAGUUAAAUCCUAACUUCUCAUAUGGAAACAGAAAAGCACUAAAGUACCAAGCAACUUUGUAGCAGAACAUGCCAAAUCCAUACCUGCAAACCAACUACAUUGCAUCUCGCACAACCUGCAUUUCAAAACCAAGAGCUUUAACCACUUACAAUCCACAAGUAGAUGCAGAAUUAAGAUAAAUCUGCUGAUUGAAGGUGCUUAUUGGCAAGUCAAUUGUACUGCUGGCCAAGUUAUACGGCAGAUUCUUUUUCUUUUUUGGUAAAAUUACACAAUAGAUUCUAUAAGUACAGUAUCAUAUCUAAUAUCUAGAUUCUUAAGACAUAAACUAGAAUUCUAGGCCAAAAAUGGCGUAAACAAACAAAUUAAUGAACAGACUACAGCAAAGUAAAAAUUUGCUAUAAUGAAAGAUGGCAAACCUUGCUUGAUUAUUUGUCACAAUCCAGAAAACAAAGAGGGCAUUGACAAAAAAUAUUGCCUCUAUUGAGAUUCAAAAUUGUCAAAAGUCCAAAUGUUAGGUUAAACACAUACCUGUUUGCAUAUCACUCACAAGCGAUCUUAGUAUCGAAGCUACUAAGGCAUAUAGCAAAUGCCUGAAAAGCUGAGAUUGGAUACUGAUAAUCCAUAGUGAAUACAUCCUUCCCCACUUUACCGAAUUGGAGAAUGACAUUCUCAUGCUCCUGACCAGCAGCUGCAUUUUCAGGAGAUGCAACCAGCUGAAAAUUUUUGACUGAUGCUACUGUUACCCGUCCAUUGAAGUUCAGACACCAGCACUGGAGUUGUUCAUGCCACCUCGGUGACUUGUUCCUCAAUACUAGCAUUCCAUCUUUCUGGUCAGACAAAGGUCCAGAUUGGAAACUCUCUGCACGGGUUGAUUUUGAUCUAAAGAACAGCAGUGAUGGGAAGGUAUCCAGAUUACUGUGUAGGAAUUCAGUCUGUGUGGGAGCAACACCUCCAGGUUCAAUAGAAGAGGCUGGGAUGGCAUCCAUGACGCAGUGCAUUCUCCUUGGACCUCUACGGUGCAGAAUAUGUUAAUUUCAGUAAGCAUACAAAAACAAGGAGCUAAACAAUGACCAACCCCUGAUACAAGGACAGGGAUAGAAAGAGCAACUUUCAAGAUACACCUUACCUAGAACCCAGGACAUUCAACUCAUAAGAGAUGUGGGCUACAGGAUAGUUGCCAGCUGGGACACGAGGAGAAACUUGUUUCAUAUUAAUUAGCCUGGUGGAGCAACUUUUAGUAACUUUUGCUCCAGCAUUUGGAGGUUGUGCAUCAUAGACUGUGAAUUUGGUCCCCAAAAAGUUGGAUCUGUUAAAACAAAUCAAGGUAAGUUUAGAUUUCUGAAAUGACUAAUGUAUGAUGCAUCAGUAAAAUCAUAAACCAGCUGACAAUACCUCAACUUUCCAAUGUAGGUACUGCUUCCUUUUGACACAUCAUUGCAAUUUAAUGAGAUGAUAUAAUCUGUGCAGGUAGGACGGCGGCACUUCCUUGCAGCAAGAAGGAACUUUCCAUCAUCGUUGGAAGCUGCCAAGUCAAUACCCAAAGCAAAACAGUUUCAUAUAUACAACUAAGAGAAGAUACCAAAAGAGAAACAAGGCACUCACCAACCACCACAUCAUUGUAAAGGCAAUAACUUUCUAUGAAUCUAAUUACAUAACAUAUCCUUAAUAUUUUUAACUCAAUUAAAAAAAUAUAAGAAAAAUCCUACGUCAGAAUACAAAAGCACCAAGCAGUACAAAUGACCAUUCAUAAGAGUAAAGCUCACAACAUCAGCCCCUUUCUCCAACACCCUAGAUGAAACACAAAUAAAUUAAAGCAGCUCACCUUGAUUCAAGCCAAGGUAAAGAUAAUAUGUUUGGUUGCUACGGUUACGUUUUAUGUAACAUUGAAGGAGGGAGUCCCUUGGACCAGGCUGCAGAAACAAAAAACAAGGACUGUGAACAUGUAUCUUAACUUUUCACUUAUCGUGGAUGAUUAAUGAGCGAUAGAAGCUGUUCCAAGUACAAACAGAGUGCUUAUAGUAUAUUCUAUAUUAACUUAGACAGGUACCUUUCAAUAAAAUUAUACUGAGAAACAAGUCUCAAGUUUGCAAUUCAUCUGAGGAGAAUAUCUAAUUUAGGAUUCAAAAUUUAUGAUUUGAUAACCUAAGAAAAAAGAACCUGUUGUCAUGCAGCACGAUAACAAAACAGUACCUGACAUAUUUCUAAUUUUUAGAUUUUAAACUUCCUCAGAAGACAAUCCUAGAAUGCGAAACACAUCUCAGCUCAAACAAAUCAGCAGAGAGAAUAUAUUGCCCUCAUUUUACUCAACUAUAAGCAGCAUCAAACCAGUAAAGAGAGUACAACUGGACCAAGGGAUGCCACAAAUUUUGUAAAUGUAUCCCACCAGUAAAGAAACAAGAAGAACAAGAAUGUGCAUCCCUCCAAGUGAAGUCAUCACCUACUGCUGCUUUUUAAGUAAAUUUAGAUGCUGCACAGGAAAGGACACUUUGGUAGCAGGAUUGGGAGCUAUGUUAUGAGAUGCAUAUGGUCAUAUCAUAGGUGCUACGGCUAAGUAAACAAAUCCUACUUUUAAUGUAUUUGUGUUGGAAGUUCAUGCUAUAAGCGGAUGGAUAGUUUUUCCUCAAGAUAUAGCCAUUUAUAAUGUAAUCGUCGAAACUGAUUACAAGUUUAAAUGGAGCUUAAGGGGGGAGGUGCUAGAUUAUCUACAACAGGGGACUUAGAACUAUCUCUUUGACCUGUAACCUUAAUUCAAUAUCCUGGUCAUUUCUUGAGAAGGAUUGGAACAAUGUAGUACAUUCUUUAGCCACACAUGCUUUAUCCUUAUGCGGUGAAUUUGUAUGAGUCGAGAAUGGUCCACCAUUGCUGAUACCUUAUCUUGACUUGGAUGCUAUUUCAGUUGACUAAUGAAAUGUCUUUGUCAAAAAGAAGAUAAAAGAUUCAAGGCCAGAGUAUAAGAGAAUCACUUUAAGACCAAAUACAACACCGAAUGAAAGAAAUUCAAUCAAAUAAAAAGGAAUAGGCAAACAUCUAUUACCUGUUUCAAUGAGAUUGGGAAUGUCAACUUGCAAGAAAUUUCUGGGGUUUUCACAAUUUCCUUCAUAAUCUCUCUCCAAUUCCUACAUACACCAGCACAAACAACCACAUUCUUUCGUGGAGGCCAAGUACUCUCUGAUGCCUCUAUUCUCAUCAACACAUCCCUCAAAAGCUCAGGCGGCAUGUUUGCCCAACAACUCUGCUUGAACACAUCAACUGGAACUGAGCUGUCCUGAACUACCCUAUGUGACCUCGAUCUCAUGCCAUACCCAAACUUCACGUCAAACCCUUUUCUCGAUAUACUCCCAAACUCUCCCUUCAUGUCCUGGAUAAUGCUCUUAAACGACAUCGAUGCCUCCUAAUCCUCUAAAACCCAAUGAUAACUUAACAACGGACUUCACCUCUACAAUUUGUAGUAACUAAGGAAUGUACCUAAAAACAUUCAAUUCCGAAUCACUACAACUUACAACCUAACAUCCUCCAGCUCACAAACACAGAAAGUAUAACCGAAUAAACACUAACGAUUCGAAUUUCGCAGUUAAAACUCUCAAAAUUCAUACAGAAAUAAGCUAUGAGCACUAAACAACACGAUCCAGAACCAGAAGCCAGAUAAGAUCGAAAAGUCACAGAAGUGGCUCCACAGCCCCUAAUCACAAUUUCUCCUCCAAAACAAUGCAGAUUGCCAUAACCGAUAUCUACGAAAAUAACACAAGGACACAACACUGAGCACCAAAACUUACCCUUCAGCCAAUAAAUCUAGCAAUAGCUGAAAACAGAAAGGCGGCAGUGAAAAAGAUCAACAAAAUUCAAACGAACACCAGCAGAUCUCUCCUCUUAUCCUAACCAACCAAGAGCCAUAAAACUAACAGAUAAUAAGAAAGGAGACAAUUGUGAAUUCAUCAAACCUUUAGAGAGAGAGAGAGAGAGAGAUCAAAGCAGAAGGAAGAACAUCCGGAUCAACAAGAACCGGGUAUUCGGAUCAUGGGUGGAACCGAUGAAAUCUAAGGUGGUCGGCCUUGGGCAGAGUGAAAGAGGGAUGCAGGUGCGGGAAAGGGAAAAGGUUAGGGCUUUGUUGGCUUUAUGGUGUUGUUUUUAGUUGGGUUUGGUGCGGUUUCUUUUUGUGUGGUGAUGUGUGAAGGACCUUAGAGACGAGACCAGAAUUUCACUGUGAGUGUGAAUGCCUGCCCCCCAGAGUGGGUCCCUCUACUCCUUAUCCUAUCCUGUCACUGCCCCCUUUUGUCUCACUCUCACCCAUAUGCGCUCGGAUUCGGGUUCCAAAAAUAUGAGCCACGGGUUAAUAUAUUCGCCGAAUUCACUCAUUGGUACACUAAAAUAGUGUGGUCUGCUUUAUUCUCCCAAGGACGAGCAUAUAAGUUCCAACCUGGAGAAACGGGUUUUUUAGAGGUUUUUACUUCAAAUGCUAUAGUAGCUUUGAAAUAUCUUAGGCUUACACUAUAAAAAUCUUGCCUUUAAAAUUUUAUUGAUCUUCCAGAAAUCAAAAUUUAUGAUUAGUGCAAAUGGUUUUGUCCCUAUAUAUCCAGAUCCAUCAAAUGCAAAUAAGUUGGAAAAAAUGUGAAAUACAGCUUACUAGGUUAACAUGAUUCUUCUAUUUCCAAUCAAAUUGAGCCAUGAUAUUUCUCUUCUUCUUUUUCCUUCUCAAUAAAAAUGGAUUUUAUGAUGUUUAUCCUGGAAGGUCCUAAGGCUUUCCGUCUUUGACACAUGUCCAAUGCUAUCUCUUUCUCUCCCUUUUUUUCAUUAUAAACACAAAUGGGUAAAUUUCAAUUUUGUUCCCUUUUAUUUUAUUAAUUACUUAAAAAUGGUCAAAUUUCAAUUUCACUUGAAUUUAAGAUUUAAUCUUUCAUAGGCUCAAUGCUAUCUCUUUCUCUCCCUCUUUUUUCAUUAUAAACAUAAAUGGUUAAAUUUUAAUUUUGGUCCUUAUAUAAUGCUCGAAUUUAAGAUUUAAUCUUCAUACUUUAUUUUUUUACAUAAUUCCUUACCUCAAUGUUUAUAAUUCCAUUAGUUAUUUAUAUAGAAAGAAGGUCCUAAGCAAUUUUGUCAUCACACAUGUCUUUUUCCUCUCUUUUUACCCUAUAAGAUAAUAGUAAAAUUUUAGUAUUGAUCCCUCUACUUUGCUAAAGUUUAGGGAUUUAGUCUAUAUUUUAAUUUGACAUAAUUUGAUCAUCUCUUUAUCAAUGACAUUAGUUGAUCUAAAUACUUAAUACCGCUUAAAAUGUUGUCAUGAAUUUUCUGAAGAACACCUUUCUAACACAUACCCAAAAAAUCUACUUCGGUAUAAUAAAUGAAAUAAUCAACUAUCUUGACUAACUAAAAAUAGAAGAACCAAAUUAUGUCAAAUUAAAGUAUAAAUAUUAAAUUCUAAAAUUUAAACAUAGUAUAAGAACCAUAAUUAUAAUUUUUCAUUUAAUUUAAUAAAAAAAUUAACUUUUAUAAAAAUAUUUCUAAUUAAAAUAAAGAUAACUACAAUCAUAAUUAUUUUAAUAUUAAUAAGCCUUUAAUAAAUAAGCAUAGGUAUAAUUAAAAAUUUGAAUCCCGGGAAAAACAUUCUACUCAAUUUUAUAAUGAAGUAUAAGAAUUUUAUCAAAUAUUUAAAAAAGUUUCAAAAUGAAACAAAAGAGAAAAAAUGCAACGAUGUUGAAUUAAUUAUUACGCUUUUAGAGUAUUUAUUAUUACAAAUUAAGUUGAAUUACAAGUGUCAAACAAAAAUUUAUACAAAUCAAAACAUUUUAUUUUUAUGUUAAAUAAUACACACAAAUAAAAGGAUUUAGUAUUAAUAUUUUUAGUAUGAUGGUUCCUCGUACAAUUAAGUUUGAGGGUUCAUAACUAGCCGUUUACUUCUUUAAAAAAUAUUCACUUGCUACCAACAAUAAAUACCUUAAUUUUUUUAAAAAAAAUUUAUGUAAGAAGAAAAUUUGUUGGUGGGGUAGCCCAGCUAUAUGCAUUGUGUGCAUAUUUGUCUUUAGAGUUUAGACACUCAUCUAAACAUUUUGAUAUUCAUAAGCCUAUGUAUCUGCUCCACAUUAUGUCCACUGUUCUUUAUCUGUUUUUCAAGCCCCUUUAGAAUUUGAUUUCAUCAAAUCAAAUCAAUUUUCAUUUUUAACCAGAAAUCAAAUGUUGAGUUUUCCGUUUACAAAAUUCGAAUAUAAAAGAUGGAGCAGAUCCAGCUCAUUUGUACCUUAGGAUAUAUUCACAACACCCCAAAAUUAAAAUAACCUUUUUUUUUCUGUCUUUUUUAUUCUUUAAAUUUAUGUUGCUUGUCAAAUUAUUCUCAAAAUGGACGAAAAAAUAAUUUUUUUUGCAAUCUACAAAGUUAUUUUAGCCCUUCAUUUAAUUUUGUCUUUUUUAAUUCUUAAACUUUUAUUAUUUAUCAAAUCAUUUCAAAAUAGAUGAAAACUAUAACAACCUUAAUUUUAACAAUGAAAAAUUCGAUUUUUGGGUUGAAUUUAUUAAAUCGAAUUAGUCAAAAAUUAGAACCAAAUAAUUAAAAAUCAAGUAUGAAAUUUUGGAAAUUAAAAAUAAUUAUUAAUUAUGGUACGUAAAAGUACCAUUGUUAUUAAUUUUUAAAUUAAUAAAUGCACGAGAGCUUAUUUAACAAUUAAUUAAGGGACUACAAUUAUAUGAGUUAGUGGGAAAGAAUGAUCCAAACCAUUCAUUCCCACUAUGGUUAUUAAAUAAAGAUCAUGACCAUUCAUUUAACUAAUUAAAUAAGAUUAAUUCCUUCAUUAAGUCUAAUUAAGCCACUAAUCUAAGUAUAAAUGGCUAGUGGAAAGAGAAAACAUAUUCAUCUUUCUCCCUUAGAGUUUGUUGUCCCUAGUUAGAAGAAAGAAAAAGAAAUUUCUUUAGUUUAUUUACUCAUUCGCGUUCCAAAUUCUUCAAGGCAAGGAAGGAUUUUUUUUUUUUGAUAAUUUUUAAAGAAUUAUGAUCAUCUAAGUUUAGUACUAUAACUUACCCAUAUUUAGAUUUUUCAGUUGCUACAUAUUUAUUAAUUUGCCAUUAAGGACUUUGUUAGAUUCAAAGCUUGAAAGUGAUGGGUAGUUAAAUGAUAAGCUUAGGUUAUAUUAAAAUUUUGUUGGAAGAUAGUGAAAUUAGCUUGGAUUUACAAGUUAAGUUAUAUAGUUAACUUUUGACAUUAAGAACUUAAUUGAAUAAAGGAACCUCAUUGAAAAAUUGAAGUUUGUUAGGAAAUUAUGUAACUGUUGAAAGGUAGAGGCCCCUAAUGAAGAAAUAUGCAACUGGUUUUCGAUUCGAUAAAGAAAACCAAAAGUUGCGAGCGUUUCAAACAUUAGGCUUAUAGGGACUAAAAUGAAUAAAAUGCAUUCAUGUCUAUAAUGUUAUGAUUUGUGUUUAAAUUGUGUGAUUAAUGAAUUUUCUGUAUUUGGGUUGAAUUUUGUAGCUAAAGACAAUGUAGGACCAUCCCAAUAUAAAGGGAAAUCCAAAGCUAUCCGUGGAUAUAUACCCUGGUUUGUGCUCUUAUGAUUCAAGUUCAUUAAAUAGCCAUAUGUAUAUGUUUGACUCGUUAAAAGUUCGAAAAUGGUAAAUUGUCGAUGUAAUUGUAUUUAAAAGGUAUGUGUAUACCCGACUAUGUUAUUUGCGAUCAUUUGGUAAAUUAAUUAUAUAUUUAUAUGCUUGUUUGAUGAUAUACAAUUUUUAAUAAUGAAAUUGCCCUAUUAAUAUUGUAAGAUAAAGUCACGGGUAUAGUUGAUAUGUCAUAAGGUCUAUUUUGUUAGGUGGAAGAUUCAGUGCUAUGCGCGUAUAUAUAUUGCAAUAAUUCUCGAGUUCCCUAAAGGUCGAAAAUGUAUCGUAAGCUUAAUUUUCUGAGGGUAUGAGCGUAUUAUGGUAUGGUUAGCGGGAUCGAUGUAUUUCUGCAUGAUCAAUAUUUCGAUGUGAAUAUUGGUGUGGUGGUGGAUUGAUCCGAAUAUUAGUUAUUGUAUCUGAUUUUGUUAAUAAAGAAUAAAAUGUAAAAUUGCUUGAUGAGUAUGUGUGUAAUUGAAUUGAGGUAAUAAUAUUAAUAUGAUAUAUGAUUUUGAUAUGGGAAAACAAAUGCAAAUUUCGUAAGAGUACAUUGGAGUUAUGUUAUUUGAAAGCAAGCAUAAUGUUGAUGAAAAUAUGAAUAUACGAUGAAUGGAUAUAGACAUGGUAUAAAUUUGAUAAUUGUAAAGGUGUAUAAAUAUUAAUAUUGAUAAUAUUUGAAUUGGAUAAUAAUUAACUUGUUUAAUUUUUCUAAGUAGUUAGUUUACUAAAUUUUAUUAUGAUUUUAAUUGAAUUUGAAUUAUGUUAGCAUUACUGAGUUUCCAUUACUUAGUGUAUAGUUACUUUUGUUUUCGUGAGCAGGUCUCGGACGAAAGUUAGAGUAGAUUCAAGGUCAUCAAGCCUCUAACUCAAAAACUCAACUCGAAAAACAACUAGUUGUCUAUUUUGUAUGUAUAUGUGUGUUUUAAGUUAAAUGACAUAUACUUAGGUUGGUUGUGGUUGGUGUUGAAGUAAUGUUAUGAUAAAAUUAGUUUUUAAUUUUUUGAAGGUUGAAUUUCAUCUUUUAAUUGUUAGUAGGUCAAGUCUUGAUAAAUCGGAUGUUAUGAUUUAAUAUUGUUUGGUUGCGUUUACUUGUGUUGAAUUGAUGGAUUUGCAUUGGUGCUAUGUUUGGGUAUGUUUUCGGUACAUUUUAGUAUGGUUUGGCUACUUAAAAACAUGUAUUAUAUGUCUUUUUGUCAUUUAGUUUCGAGAUAGGAAGAACAUGUCUCGAGACCAACAAGCAAGUUGGUUUUGGGACAAUCUCGACAAGUUCUCGAGACAAGGGCACGUCAAAGUUAAAUAAGUUUUCCCCUGUUCCAAGUCUUGAGACAAUAACCCCUAUUAGACAAAACACGUUAGCGAACAAAAUAAAUUAAAUAUAAAUAAACACAUAUAAAAUAAAGAUAGAAUAAUUUAUAUUUAAUUUAUCAAAUACGAAAGAAAAAUCAAAAUUAAAAUCAAAUAAGAGUUUAAAUCAGAAUGAGGAAUAUGGAUUUUACGAAACGUUGAGGCCUGUGUAAUACAGUUUUCUUAAGAUAGAUUCGACCGCUCCUACAGUACUUGGAGUAAUGUUGGUCGAAUGUCUCCCAAGAUACAACAACAACAUGGAUCACAGUAGUAGCACCUCUACAAUGAUCAAUGAACACAUAAUGCCUUUUUCUAUACCGGAAUGUUUGAAAAUACGAAGAGGAAAAUGAAGAGUUUUGAGAGCAACAGAGUUUCGGUAAAAGAAAAAUAUCAUAGAGUACUUUCUUGUGUAAAACCCUUCAGAAAUCAUGGCCUUUUAUAUGCAUGGAGAAUGUUGGGAUUUUGGGAAAAAUAUCCACAAAAUCUGCCAUUAAAUUAAUUUGAUUAAAUUUUUUAAUCAAAUUUAUUGGAAUCAAAUCAAUAAGAUAAGUAUCCUUAUAUGUGUAACACCCCUAACUCGUAUUCGACGCCGGAACAGGGUUACGGAGCAUUACCGAACUUAUAACUCAAACUGUAACAGCUCGAUUUUGACCCUAAUCAGACAAAGUGAUUUCAGGACCACAAAUCCGAGUCAAAAAAUAUUUUAAAAUUAUUUUUAGUAUUUACAGUAUGUGAAUUUCAGUGUGUGAAAAUUUCGUAUGAAAAUUUGAUCGUUUGAGUACAUUUAGCAACAAAACAGUUUAGACAACAACAGUUGUGUGACUUUGAAAAAUCACCAAAAAUGGUCGAAAUUAAAUUAAAGAUUGAAUAAUAUAUGAAACUGAAGCUGAAUGAGUCUUUUUUUACAUAAAAGAAAUAAAACAAGCAAAAGAGUUAUGUAUUUUGAGAUAUUUGAAGUUUAGUUAGAUAGAGUCAGAAUGAGUUUGGAAUCCCCUAUUCUGAAUUUGGAAAAUUGUACAAAAAUAAUUAUGGGAUAAAGUUUAUAUGUUUAGAAUCCUCAGUGAAUCUAUUUUCAAGAUAAACAAAUUAAAACAAUAUUCGAAAUCUGUACAAUGAGAUGAUUAAUUUUUAGUGAAGAGAGAGCAGAACUAUCGAGCAGUGAAAUAGGGGAACUUUAAAGAAUAAAAUUUACUAUUUGGCUAAACCAAAAAUUCUGAAAAUUUUAUGGUAAGAAGAUAUGUGAAUCUAGUUUUAGGAAAAAUUAACAGAUCUUAAUUUGGAGCUCUGUAGCUCGAGAUAUAAAUAAAUUAGUGACUUUGACUCAGAUAGACAGCUUGAAUUUACAUACAGGAAAAUAGUGAUAGUAUGGAAAAUGUUGUUUAAAUGUGUUAUACACAUUAAGGAUGUGGAAUGGAGAGGAGGAGGAGGAAAAUUGGAAAAAUAUAUGAAUGAUUUGUGUAUAAUUGGUCAUAUGCUUGAUUAUAAUUGAUAAACGAUGAAAUAGAAAUGAUGCUUAUAUUUGUGCAUUAUUGGUCAUGGUUUAAGCUCAUGUGUGAAAAUAAAGUUACAUAGUAUGUAUGUGGUAUAUUCGGUAUAUGAUUUGACAUGAAGUAAUGGCAUGAAUGGUUUAUAAAUUAACACAUGUUGAUAAACGUGAUACAUGAAUAAAUGUUGUGCUCAUCCAUGCUUAUAAUGCUUAUGCUAUAUGUGUAUUUGGCCAACAUAUUUGGUGUAUAUGCUUAGGCUUUGGCCAAGUAGUGGUUGGAUUAUGCCACGUUAAAUUUAUAAGUUAUGCAUUGAAAUGGUAAGUGCCUAAUUGGAAAUAUGCUUGUGAUCAUAAAAAAAAGUGGUAAGGUUUAAAUUAUGUAAUCUCUAGUGAAAUGGUUUAUCAUGUCGUUAGUUCCAAAAAGAGUUAUGUUUAAAUACACUAGCUUGUGAUUAUGGUCGAAUGAUAUGUUUAUAUCUUGUGUGAUAUGCAUAGGAAACGAGUGUAAAAAGGUAAUAAAAUAUUAAGUUUAUAUGGUUGAAAUUUAAUGAUUACAUGUUAAUUUCAUGAAUUAUAUAUUGUAUGAUGAGAUAUAUUUGUUGAUGAAUUGAGAAUAAAAUAACAAUACGAAAAUCGAAUAAAUGAUCAAAUUGAGCAAAACAUCAGAUUUGAGUAUUUUUGAUCAGUGACAAGUGAUAAGUGGUAGUUUAGCUACACUUAUCUGAUCAGUGAUAAGUGACAAGUGAUAAGUGAUAGCUUUAGCUACACUUAUCUGAUCAGUGAUAAGUGGUAGUUUUAGCUGCACUUAUCUGAUCAGUGAUAAGUGACAAGUGAUAAAUGGUACCUUAGCUACACUUAUCUGAUCGGUGACAAGUGAUAAGUGGUAGCUUUAGCUGCACUUAUCUGAUCAGUGAAAGUGACAAGUGAUAAAUGUGAUCCAUGUAAGACCAUGGCAGGGCUAUGACUUCGGAAAGUGCUAAGUGAUCCUACGCAAGACCAUAGUUAUACUAUGGCAAAGUGGAAAUGAAGUACUCAAUUUUCCGUAACCGUUCCCUACUUUAAUUAAGGAUGGUAAAUGACAAAUGGGCCCAAAAGAAUUAUAGUAAAUGGAUAAGUGGUAGUGAAUUUAUAUUAGGAUGAUGAGUUGAAUUGAUGUUGUUAUUUAAGCUAAAUUGAUAUUUUCAUUGCAAAAUUGAGAAUUUCAUAAAUGUGUAAAUGAAUGGUACAAUCGAUAAACGUUGAGUUAAAUGGUAAAUACGUAUUAAAAUUGAACUUAAUGAUUUGAAUUGUGAACAUGAGAAAUUUGUAAAUUGAAUGAAAUGGAAAUGAAGCAUUGACUUAUUAAGACUUGUAAACUGAAUGAAUAUGUAUCGGGUCUUGUAGGUCCUAUUUAUUAUGAAUAUAAUAUUUUGAGGAUAUAUUAUGAAGAAUUUUAAAAGCAUGUUAAUAAUUUGAAAGUUUUAAAUUAGAUGAAGUUUUAUAACUCGGUUAAAUACAUUUACAAGUGAAUGUGUUCUAGUAAUGCCUCGUACCCUAUUCCGGUGUUGAAUACGGGUAAGGGGUGUUACAAUACAUGUAUAUGUAUUGUAUUUUUGUAGAACUAUAAUUUAAAGUAUAUCUAUUUAAUAUAUUUAAAGUAUGGAUGAUUUAUAUAUAUAUAUGCAUUUCUAAUGUUCGAACAUAUAAGUUUAUACUUAUAUAAAAUUUUGCAAGCGGUUAAAGUAUGAAUGGUAUAUAAGUAUAUAUAUUUAUAAAUGUUCUUGAUCAUGAUUGAAGUAUGAGAGUUUUAUAUGUAUAUACAAGAUUCAAGUUCAUGUAUGUAUAUUCAUGUAUAAAUUAUUGAUUUAAUCAAAAGUUUGGAUAACAUAAAUAUAUACGAAAGGGUUGAAUGAAUUUGUAAGUAUAUACAUGGUAAACUUUUGGUAUUUGAUUUAUAAUAUGUAUGUUUUAAAAAUAUAUAAUAAAUUCGAUUAAGCAUGUAAAUAUACAUGCGUAUGCUUUUUGUAUUGAAUUUAGAUAUGUCAUUAUUUAAAUGUGUGAGGUUUGAUUAUGCAUUAUACAUGUAUCAAUUCUUGUUAUGAAUUUAAGUAUGAAUUUACAUAAGUACAUGAUAAAUUCGAAUAUGUAUAUAUAUACGUACAGGUAUAAUUUCUUGUAUUGAAAUCAGGUAUGGAAUUAUAUAUUGAUAUAUAUGGUCGAAUGUAUAUAUAUAUGUUUAAGAUUUGCAUUGAAUCAAAAGUAUGAAAUUGUUAGCUUAGAUUAUUUUAAUAUGUUCGAAUGUGAAAUGUAUAUUAUUUAAGUAUAAAAGAAGUUAAAUAUUAUGAUGGUAGUAGUUGAAUCUAUAGUAUAAAGAUAUAUAUAUAUAAAUGUAUUCGGUUGAAUCAUUGAAUUAUCAAGUUUAGAAUUGGUGAUUGAACUUUAUAUAACCAUGUGUAUCAAUGAUAUAAGUUAUGAAAUUUAAGCUAAAUCUUUAUGCAUGGACUUUGUAUACAAAUAUAGUUUGAAAAUGAAUUAUAUCUGAUGUGAAUUGCGUAUUCAGGCCCAACGCCUAGUAGGUAUAUUGCCAGUGAAUCAAUUCAGGCUUAAAGCCUAGUAGGCUAAGUGCCGGUGAACUGAAUCAGGCUAUAAGCCUAGCAGGCUAAGUGCCGGUGAUCUGAAUCAGGCUUUAAGCCUAGCAGGCUAAGUGCCGGUGAAUCUGUCUUAUUUAAGUGAUUAUAUACAUUGGGUAUAUAUGUAUAUGAUUAGGUUAUUUGUAUUGGAUAAAUAUAUGAACAUCUGUUUCUAUGUUUUUGAUGAGCAUAUAAAAGCUCGAAUCUUUGUGUUUGGUGAGUAUAUAUAUAUUGGUUAUCAUAAAAUUGUUGGAUAUAUAUAUGUAUGCAUUCGACAUAUGUGAAUUAUAAGUAUAUAUAUAUGUGCAUUCGGCACAUGUGGUUGAUAAGUAUAAUUAUUUGCUUUUGGCAUAUGUAUUUGAAUAAUAUAUAUAUGCAUUCGAAGAAGUGCAAGUGAUAAGUACACUAGUAAUCAAAAUAUGAAAUUAAUGAGAAUGUUAAUAACUCGGUUAUAUGCAUAUAAUGUAUAUACAUAUGUUCGUUUAUAUGUAUUAGUUAAAUAUAAAUUCUUUUAGAUAUCAACAAAAUGACUUAAGAUAUUAGUGUUUGAACAAUAAUUAUAUUGGAUAUUUGUGAUCUUAACAAUUUUACUUAAGGAAUUAUAUGAUUCUUAGUUAUCCUAUAGACUUACUAAGCUAUAAAAGCUUACUUUGUUUUCGUCUCUUUGUUUUAUAGACUUAAAGAGCAAGUUUCAGGCUCAGGGAUCGUCAGCAAGAUCAUCACUCUAUCUACAGUCUCGGCAUUAAAUGUUUUAAAUUUUUAACUUAUGGCAUGUAUAGACUGGAUAAUAUUUUGAAAGUCGUACUUGAUGUACAGUAUAUGUAAUUAAUAGCCAUACAAAUAUGGCUUAUUUUCUUAUAGUUUAACUAGAUUCAAAUCUUAUGUUCUGUUUAAAAUGAUCAAAGUAGAAUUUAUAUAUUAUACUUAUUUUAAUGUUAGACUUUGCUUAUUAUAUUUAAUAAUAAUUUUUUGAAAAUUAUUAAACUAUAUCGGAUGUCUGUUUUGAGUUAUGUUUGAUUAGUAAUGCCUCUUAACCCCAAAUUCAGCGACGGAUACGGGGUAGGGGUAUUACAAAAACAAUCAUACAUUUCAUAUUCAAUUAUCAUUCAAAUCAAAUUUCAUUCAAAAUCAUUCAUAUAGUCCCUAAUAUGAGCCCUCUAGGCCCAAAAUAGACCUUAAAAUGGUUCGGGACUAAACCGAAUACUUAAGAAAUUUUUAGAAAAACAUUGAAAAUUUUCAAAGUGCAGGAGACACAAGCCCGUGUGGCCAGGCCGUGUGGGCAUUUGAAAUAGGGACACACGGCCGUGUCCCAGCCCGUGUUCGACCCCGUGUAACUGUAACACUCCUAACCCAUAUCCGUCACCGGAACAGGGUUAAAAAGUAUUACCAGAGUUUACAGAUCAAAUAUAAUUAAAUCGUAUCAUUUACUAUUCAUAUCCAAAAUUAAACAUUUUCUAUCAUAUUGUCCCUUAAAUGGACUCUCGAAGCCCAAUUUAUGAGUUAGAAACAAGUCGGGACUAAAUCGAGAACUCAUAGAAUUUUUCACAAAAUUUAAAAAUUUUUCAUAGAUGCAGGGGAUACACACCCGUGUGGGUAGGCCGUGUGCCUCACAUGGCCAAGUGACAUGCCUGUGUCCUAGGCCGUGUGGGCAUUUGAUGUGAGGCACGCGACUGUGUUCCAGCCCGUUUCCUUACUCGUGUAACUCUUUAACUUGUGUCACACGGCCAGCCACACGCCCUUGUGCUAGGUCGUGUAGUAAAUUUAAUUUUCAAACAUUAGGUGCAGGGGACACACAGCCAAACCACACGUCAGUGCACAUGGCUGUGUGUCACACACGGCUGAGACACACGCCCGUAUCUCUGCCUGUAUGGAAAAAAUAAGGUCAUUUCUAAACCUUAUUUCUCACCCAACUUGUCUUCCACCUACAUUAAAAUUUCAACAUAUUCACCAACCAAUUCAAGACAUAUAAAUCAAGCUAAUAAUUAAGUUUUAUGCAUGACAUGUUUGUUCAUACCUUCAAGUAUUUAUCUUACCUUUUUAAUCAUAUACUUACCCAAACAUGAUUAUACCUAAAAUACUAAUCCAAACAUACUCACAUACCAAACAUAAUAUAACCUCAUGCAUAAAUACAUUAAACAUACUAUCCCUAGCCAUUCCAAUGGCUAAAUACAACCAAAACAUUUACAUACCCACAUUUGUCAACAUUAACCUAUACGUGCCAUUAUACCAAAAUGAGCUGGAGGAUAGUGUGAUGAUGCUCCGGCUGAACUCAAACCUUUAUGAGCUUACGAGAACUAUAAAACAAAUAAAAGAAAACCAAGUAAGCAUCUAAUGCUUAGUAAGUUCGUAUAACAAGAAUUUAACUUACCAAUCAUGUUCAUUUUAAGUAAGCAUAUAAAUAACAUACAUCCCAAGCAAAUUGGCUAAAUGCGUAAUCACUUACCCUCAAUCAAGCAAGUUAGUUAUGAAUUUCUAAGUACUUUUCAAGUAAUAAAGACGAGCUCAUCAUAUAAAUGUUCCAUGCAUUUCCCGUUGAACUUAUGAAAUAUCGAUGAACAUCGGGUAGUACACAUGAAAUGUACUAAUUCAUAAUCUGUCAAUUCAUAUUCUGGAGUGUUCAUGAGAGCACUUAAGUAGGAAGCACUCACUCGAGCCAUAUAACGGGAAGCUCAUAUGAGCUAUGUAACAGGAAGCUUAUUCGGGCUAUAUCAGGAAGCUCAUAAGAGCCAUAAUCAGGAAGUUCACAAAGAACAUUUAAUCGGGAAGCUCAUAAAGAGCCUCUCGGGUAGCUCACUAAGAGCCAUGUAACGGGAGCUCCGGAUAGCCAUAUAUCAGGAAGUUCAAGCGAGCUAUAUCAGGACGCUCACAAAGAGUUACGUUUGUGUCCAUAACAUAUACAUGAUCACAAUCGAUCACAAACAAGACGUUCACAAAGAGCUGCGGUAGUCCACAACACAUGCAGAAUUACUAUCGAUCAGGAUGCUCGCAGAACUAUAUAACGGGAAGCUCAAGAGGGCUAAUAACAGGAUGCUCAUAAGAGCUAUGGUGUGUCUGCAACAUAUGCAGGACUACAACCAAUUCGGGAAAUCCAGUAUCCAUCGAAUUCCAUUAUUCAUACGGGACUUAUCACGUAUCGGGCAUUGUGGAAUCAAUAAUUGUCUUCAAUAACAUAAGAUAUUCAUAAUUCAUAUAUACAACAUUCAAAUCAAACAUGUAGACAUACAUAAUUUAGUUACACGAACUUACCUCGUCACUUGUUCGUAUACGGAAAUCUACUAAUCUAACACUUUUUCUUUCCGUCGAUCUAGCUUCGUAUUUGAGUUAUCCGGAUCUAUACGAGUAAAUUUAACUCAAUUUAAUACAAUUCAUAUUCAAUUCAACCAAAUUCACAUUUUAGACAAAAAUACCAUUUUACCCCUAUAGUUUUGUUAAAUUUCAAAUUCGUCCCUAAGCUCGGAAAAUAAAAUUAUGCAAAUUUAAUCCUUAUUCCAAGCUUAACCAAAAUUUUCAUAUAACAUUUACAGCCCAUGUGUUUCACAAAAAUAAAAAAUUUUCUAUGAAUUUUACAUCUUUACAAUUUAAUCCUUAAAUCAUAAUUUCAUAAAAAUUUACUUUACAGAAGUUGUUUAUCUAUCAACAAUAUUUCAUUUUCUACCAUAAAUUUCAAAAUUUCAGCAUAUUCAUCCAUGGCAAAACUUUGAUACUUUGAUAACUUUGCAAAUUGAUCCCCAAAAUAGCUAGAUUAGGUUAUUCCGAUCUUGGAAAUAUAAAAAUUACUAAAAGUGGGACAAGAUUACUUACCCAAUUAAGCCAAAAUAGCUUGCUUGAAUAUUUUUCUCUUAGUUAGGGUUUUCAUGUAUUUUUAAUUUGGGAAAGAUGAUGAAAUAAGAUGAUAUUAGUUUAUUUCAUCUUUACUUAAUUUAAUUUCCAAUUUAGUCCCCUUCUUUUCUUGAAUUUCCAUGGAUAAGUCACCAUAAAUAUCUACUAACUUCUCUUAAUGGUCUAAUUAUCAUAUAAGGACAUCAAAUUUUGAAUUCUAUAACUAUUAAAUCCUUCUAGUUAUUAGAAUUCAACUUUUUCACUUUAUGUAAUUUGGUCAUUUCCUCCUAAUUAAACAUAAAAUUGGUAAAAUUUUCUUAUCAAAAUUUUUAUACGUCUUUCCUAUCAUAAUACAGAUCAUAUAAUAAUAUUAAAAUAAAUUUUCUUUCUAAUUCAGAUUUGUGGUCCCGAAACCACUAUUCUGAUUUCACUGACAAUGGGCUCUUACAACUCUCCCCCCUUAAAGAAUUUUCGUCCUCGAAAAUCUUACCAGUAAAGAGGUUUGGGUAUUGCUUUUUCAUUAUUUCCUCCGGUUCCCAGGUAGCUUCUUCUACCCCGUGGCAUUGUCAAAGAACUUUUACUAAAGCUACCUUUUUAUUUCUUAAUUCUUUCGACUCUCGUGCUAGAAUGUUUAGCGGUUCUUCACUGUAAGUCAUGUCAGAUUGAAUAUCUACUUUUGUUAGAGAAAUAACAUGUGAAGGAUCUGAUCAGAACCGUCACAACAUAGACACGUGGAAAACAUUAUGAAUUCUGUCAAACUUUGACGGUAAUGCUAAUCGGUAUGCAACAGGUCCGAUUCUUUCAAUAAUUUUAUAUGGCCCGAUGAACCGUGGACUCAGUUUUCCUUAACGACCAAAUUGAAGAACUUUCUUCCAAGGUGAUACUUUUAAGAAUACCUUACCACCGACCUGAAUUCUAUUUCUUUUCGUUUAAGAUCAGCAUAAGACUUUUGAUAAUCAGAGGCUGCUUUCAAAUUAUCCUGAAUUACUUUCACUUUUUCUUCAGUCUCACGGGUUAAAUCAACUCUGUGUAUCUUUUUCUCACUGAGCUCUGUCCAAUAUAACGAAGUUCUACAUUUACGACCAUACAAAGCCUCGUGCGGUGCCAUUUUAAUACUUGAAUGAUAGCUAUUAUUAUAUGCAAAUUCAACUAAAGGCAGAUACUUUUCCCAGUUUCCUUCGAAUUCCAAAAUACAACACCGAAGCAUAUCUUCUAAAAUCUGUAUAACAUGUUCAGAUUGUUCAUCAGUCUUAGGAUGGAAUGCGGUACAAAAAUGUAGCUGUGUACCUAAUGCUUCUUGCAACUUGCUCCAGAAUCGAGAUGUAAACCAGGGAUCUCUAUCAGAAAUAAUAGAGACUGGUACCCCAUGUAGUCUAACAAUCUCAGAAACAUAUAACUCAGCCAAUCUGUCUAAGGAGAAAUCCAUACGUGCCUGUAUAAAGUGUGCAGAUUUCAUCAAUCUAUCAACGAUUACCCAAAUGGUAUUUUUUUUUCAGAGAUAAGGAUAAUCCUGAUACAAAAUCUCUGGUAACUCUUUUCCAUUUCCAUUCCGGUAUCAUAACUGGUUGUAAUAAUCCUGAAGGCACCUAGUGUUCAGCUUUAACUUGCUGACAUAUCAAACACUUAGACACAAAUUCAAAAAUGUCACGCUUCAUUCCUGGCACCAAUACAUCUUUUUCAAAUCAUUAUACAUUUUAUUACUCAUUGGAUGAACAGACAUGGUACCAUUGUGAGGUUCAUUCAAAAUCUUCUGUACGAGUUUUGAAUUCUUCGGUACACAUAUUCUGCCUCUGAAUAACAAACAAUCAUCAGACCCAAUCUAAAACACUGAAUCAGCAUUUAACUCACAUUGAACCCGUUUAGCUUGUAGUUCAUCAUCAUUUUUCUAAACUUCACAAAUCUACUACAGAUAUGUCGAUUUGACUUUUAACUCAGCUAAGAUUGAACCAUUAUCUGACAAUGAUAAUCGGGUAUUCAUCACUCGUAAAGCAAACAAAGAUUUUCUACUUAGAGUAUCAGCAGCCACAUUGGCUUUUCCCGGAUGAUAAUCAAUAACCAGAUCAUAAUCUUUUAAUAACUCAAGCCACUUGCGCUGUCUCAAAUUUAACUCUUUUUGUGACAUCAGGUAUUUCAAACUUUUAUGAUCGGUAAAUAUAUGGCAUUUUUCACCAAACAAAUAAUGUCACCAAAUUUUCAAUACAAACACAAUAGUUGCCAACUCUAAAUCAUGUAUCAGGUAAUUCUUUUCAUGUGGUUUUAACUGUCUAGAAGCAUAGGCUAUUACUUUACCUUCUUGCAUAAAAAACAAUCUAAACCAUUCAAUGACACGUCACCGUAAAUUACGAAUUCUUUACCCGAUUCAGGCUGAACUAGUACGGGUGCUUCAGUCAACAAGGUUUUCAGUCUGUUAAAACUCUGCUGACAUUUAUCAGACCACUCAAAUUUCACAUCUUUCUACAAUAAAAGAUUCAUCGGAAAGGCUAUUGUCAAGAAACCUUUUACAAACCUCCGAUAAUAUCCAAUUAUUCUUAAAAAACUUCUAACUUUAGUCACAUUUUUCAGUAGUUUCCAGUUAACAAUUCCUGAAAUUUUAUUCGGGUCCACUCUAAUGCCUUCAGCAGAUACUAUAUGCCCAGGAUAUCAUCAAUAAAUACCACAACAAAUCUAUCCAGAUAUAGUCUGAAAAUUCUAUUCAUCAGAUCCAUAAAUACUGCAGGUGCAUUUUUCAAACUGAACGGUAUCACCAGAAACUCAUAGUGCCCGUACCUGGUUCUGAAAGUUGUCUUUGGUACAUCUAAUUCUUUUACCUAUAACUGAUAGUAACCAGAACGAAGAUCAAUCAUUGAAAAUGCAGUGGCACCUUUUAACUGGUCAAACAAGUCAUCAAUAUGAGGCAGUGGAUACUUAUUAUUGAUUGUAACUUUGCUAAGCUGCCUAUAAUCAAUAUAUAACCUCAACGAUCCAUCUUUCUUUUUAACAAAUAAAACCGGUGCACCCCAAGGUGAUGAGCUAGGUCGAGCAAAACCUUUGUCAAUCAAUUCUUGCAACUGUACUUUCAACUCUUUUAAUUCUGUAGGGCACAUUCUGUACGGAGCUAUAGAUAUCGGUGUUGUUCCUAGAACAAGGUCUAUAGAAAAUUCAACCUUUCUGUCUGGUGGUAAACUAGGUAAUUCUUCUGGAAACAUAUCAAAAAAUUCACUAACAAUCGACACUGACUUAAUCUUCGAUUCAGAUACUUUAGUGUCUAACACAUAUGAAAUAUAAGCGUUAUACCCUUUUCUGAUAUAUUUAUGUGCUAAUAUAGCUGAGAUCACAUUAGAUAACCCGUCUAAUUUAUCAGAUUUAACACGGAGCAAUUUACCAUUCUGACAUUUUAACACAAUGUAUUUCUAUUUACAAUUUACCACUGCAUCAUGCUGAGUUAACCAGUCCAUACCCAGAGUUACAUUAAAUUCAUUAAAUGGUAGUAACAUCAAAUCAACUAAGAAACAAUAACCCCGUACCAUUAACAAACAAUUUUUAUAAACUUUAUCUACCAUCACAUACUGGCCUAGAGGGUUCGAAACUUUAAUCACAAAUUUAGUGGACUCGAUAUGUAAAUUUUUAACAGACACUAAAUUCAAACAUAUGUAUGAAUGUGUUGAACCAGGAUCAAUUGAAGUAGUAAUAUUAGUAUCAAGAAGAGAAAAUGUACCAGAAAUGACGUCUAGUGCAGAGGUAUCCUCUCUUGCACGAAUAGCAUAUGUCCUUGCCGGCGCUCGUGCUUCAGGUUUGACAAUUGAAUCUUUUCUUGUACCUCGAUUACCACUCAUAUUAUCGGGGUUUCGAGGUGGUCUACCUCUCGAGACGGGUUACCUAGUCUUGAAGUCUUAACAAUAUCUUUUUCAAACCUUUCUGGGCAGUCUUUAAGAUAGUGAUCAAGAGAACCACAUCUAAAACAUGCUCCACUUCUCAUGUGGCACUCACUGAAAUGAAAUUUAUUACAAUAUUUACAUUUUGGUUUGGGGUUCCAACACUUUCAGCACUUGCUACUGAUGGGCCAGAGAUCUCGGAUUAGAGCAUUGAAUACUUCGAUCUUUACCAAAAUUCCCCGUAGAUGUAAUAGAACGAUCAUGAUAUUUCUUUGAUUUCUUUAAAACCAACGAUUGUGACUUUCCCAUGAAUAUUUUACUCGAAGUUUGGGUUUCCAUCUCUGCCAGCCUCUUUUUUUAUUUAAUUCUUCAGCUUUAUGUGCUCGGUCAGCCAGUACAACGAAUUCUUUUAAUUCUAAAAUCCCAACCAAUAACUUGAUAUCUUCAUUCAAUCCCUUUUCAAAAUGUUUACACAUAGCAACUUCGGUCGGGAUACAUUUCUAGCAUAUUUACUUAAUCGAACAAAUUCUCGUUCAUACUUAAACACAGUCAUAUUCCCCUGUUUAAGCUCUAAAAAUUCCCUUUUUCUGAUCAAGGAAUCUCUGACUAAUGUACUUUUUUGUAAAUUCUGUUUGGAAAAAUUCCCAUGUAACAUUUUCCCUCGGCACAACAGAAAUCAAGGUAUUCCAUUACUGGUAGGUUGAGUCUUUUAGCAGAGAAACAACAUAAUUCAAAAAUUCAGCUGGGGUGCAAGAUAAUUCAUCUAGAACCCUGAUGGUAUUUUCUAGCCAAAAUUCAGUCUUUUCCGGAUCAUCCUCAGCGGUGGCCCUAAAUCUUUCUGCCCCAUAUUUACAAAUUUUAUCUACCGGAGGUUUACCAGUUCUAACAGACUCUGUACCUUGUCGCAUAUCAGUUUCCGGUUGAGGAAAAUGAGGGGGAGGUUGUUGUACAGCGAGAUUUGUCCUUAAAUAUUCAGUAAACCAUUCAUUCAUCAUUUGAAAGAAGGAUUCUUUAGCCUCCUCACCUCGACCCUCAGAUACAGGCCAUCUACUACUUGAUGCAGCUUUUUGAACUGAAGCUUGAGCAUAGCUUUUAGCUUCCUCGGAUUCAGCUCGGUUGGACGACAUUACUACAUAAAAAACAUAUUUAAAAUGGUCAGGAGAUAUCACACUAUCACAAAUUAUAUAAUGGCAUGUAUAGCUAAACUCGUACUUACUACAUUAGUCCGAGAAUUGGCUAAACCGUAGCUCUGAUACUAAUAAAUGUAACACCCUUAACCCAUAUCCGUCACCAGAACAGGGUUACGGAGUAUUACCAGAGUUUACAAAUCAAAUAUAAUUAAAUCAUAUCAUUUACUAUUCAUAUCCAAAAUCAAACAUUUUCUAUCAUAUUGUCUCUUAAAUAGACCAUCAAUGCCCAAUUUAUGAAUUAGAAACAAGCCAGACUAAAUCGAGAACUCAUAGAAUUUUUUACAAAAUUUCAAAAAUUUUCCUAGAUAUAGGGGACACACACCCGUGUGAGUAGGCCAUGUGGCUAAGACGGCCAACUGACAUUCUCGUGUCCUAGGCCAUGUGGGCAUUCGAUGUGAGGCACACGGCCGUGUCCCAACCCAUGUCCUUACUCAUGUAAUUCUCUGACUUGUGUCACAUGGCCAGCCAUACGCCCGUGUGCUAGGCCGUGUAGAAAAUUUAAUUUUUAAAAAUUAGGUGCAGGGGACACACGGCUAAACCACACACCCGUGCGCAUGGUCGUGUGUCACACACGGCUGAGACACACGCCCUUGUCUCUCCCCGUGUGGACAAAAUAAGGUCAUUUUUAAACCUUAUUUCUCACCCAACUUUUUUCCACCUACAUUAAAAUUUUAACAUAUUCACCAACCAAUUUAAGGCAUAUAAAUCAAGCAAUAAUUAAGUUUUAUGCAUCACAUGUUUGUUCAUACUUUCAAGUAUUUAUCUUACCUUUUUAAUCAUAUACUUACCCAAACAUGAUUAUACCUAAAAUACUAAUCCAAGCAUACUCACAUACCAAACAUAAUAUAGCCUCAUGCAUAUAUACAUUAAACAUACUAUCACUAGCCAUUCCAAUGGCUAAAUACAACCAAAACAUUUACAUACCUACAUUUGUCAACAUUAACCUAUACAUGUCAUUAUACCAAAAUAAGUUUUCUAUUUAUACCAAAAAGAGCUGAAGGAUAGUGUGAUGAUGCUCCGACCGAACUCCAACCUUUAUGAGCUUUCGAGCAAUAUAAAACAGAGAAAAGAAAACCAAGCAUCUAAUGCUUAGUAAGUUCGUAUAACAGGAAUUUAACUUACCAAUCAUGUUCAUUUUAAGGAAGCAUAUAAAUAACAUACAUCCCAAGCAAAUUGGCCAAAUGCCUAAUCACAUACACUCAAUCAAGCAAGUUAGUUAUGAAUUUCUAAGUACUUUUCAAGUAAUAAAGAUGAGCUCAUCAUAUAAAUGCUCCAUGUAUUUCCCGUUGAGCUUUAUGAAAUAUCGAUGGACAUUGGAUAGUACACAUGAAAUGUACUAAUUUAUAAUCUGUCAAUUCAUAUUCUAGAGUGUUCAUGAGAACACUUAAACAUGAAGCACUUUCUCGAGCCAUAUAACGGGAAGUUCAUGUGAGCUAUGUAACAGGAAGCUUAUUCGGGCUAUAUUAGAAAGCUCAUAAGAGCCAUAAUCAGGAAGUUCACAAAGAACAUUUAAUCGGGAAGCUGACGAAGAGCCUAUCGAGAAGCUUACUAAAAGUCAUGUAACGGGAGCUCCAGAUAGCCAUAUAUCAGAAAGUUCAAACGAGCUAUAUCAGGACGCUCACAAAUAGCUGUUUUUGUGUCCGUAACAUAUACAAGAUCACAACUGAUCACAAACAGGACGCUCACAAAGAGCUGUGGUAGUCUACAGCACAUGCAGAAUUACUACCGAUCAGGAUGCUCGUAGAACUAUAUAACGGGAAGCUCGAGAAGGCUAAUAACAGGAUGCUUGUAAGAGCUAUGGUGUGUCCACAACAUAUGCAGGACUACAACCAAUUCGGGAAAUCCAGUAUCCAUCGAAUUUCAUUAUUCAUACGGGACUUAUCACACAUCGGGCUUUGUGGAAUCAAUAAUUGUCUUCAAUAACAUAACAAAUUCAUAAUUUAUAUAUACAACAUUCAAAUCAAACAUGUAAACAUACAUAAUUUAGUUACAUGAACUUACCUCGUCACUUGUUCGUAUACGAAAAUCUACUAAUUCGAUAUUUUUUCUUUUCCUCGAUCUAACUUCGUAUUUGAGUUAUCCAGAUCUAUACGAGUAAAUUUAAAUCAAUUUAAUACAAUUCAUAUUCAAUUCAACCAAAUUCGCAUUUUAGACAAAAGUACCAUUUUACCCCUUUACUUUUGUUAAAUUCUAAUUUCGUCCUUAGGCUCGAAAAAUAAAAUUCAUGCAAAUUUAAUUCUUAUUCCAAGCCUAACCGAAAUUUUCAUAUAGCAUUUACAACCCAUGUAUUUCGCAAAAAUUAAAAAUUUUCUAUGAAUUUUACAUCUUUACAGUUUAAUCCCUAAAUCAUAAUUUCAUCAAAAUUCACUUUACAAAAGUUGUUUAUCUAUCAACAAUCUUUCAUUUUCUACCAUAAAUUUCAAAAUUUCAGCAUAUUCAUCCAUGGAAAAACUUUGAUAAUUUGAUAACUUUACAAAUUGAUCCCCAAAAUAGCUAGAUUAGGUUAUUCCGAUAUCAAAAAUAUAAAAAUUACUAAAAACGGGACAAGAUUACUUACCCAAUUAAGCCAAAAUAGCUUGCUUGAAUAUUUUUCUCUUAGCUAGGGUUUUCAUGUAUUUUUAAUUUGGGGAAGAUGAUGGAAUAAGAUGAUAUUAGUUUAUUUCAUCUUUAAUUAAUUCAAUCUCAAAUUUAGUCAUUUUAUUUUCUUGAAUUUCCAUGGAUGAGUCACCAUAGCUAUUAAAUCCUUCUAGCUAUUAGAAUUCAACUUUUUCACUUUAUGCAAUUUGGUCAUUUCCUCCUAAUUAAACAUAAAAUCAGUAAAAUUUUCUUAUCAAUAUUUUCAUACGUCUUUCCUAUCAUAAUGCAGAUCAUGCAAUAAUAUUAAAAUAAAUUUUCUUUCUAACUCGGAUUUGUGAUCCCGAAACCACUAUUUUGAUUUCAUUAAAAAUGGGCUAUUAUAGUAACUCUCUAACUUGGGUCACACGGCCAACUCACAUGCCCGUGUGUCAGGCCGUGUACCCUUCGAAAUGGCCUCACACGCCCGUGUGCCAGGCCGUGUGUCACACACAGUUGAGACACACAUCCAUGACUCUGCCCGUGUGGACAAAAAUAGGCUAUUUCCAAGCCACAUUUCUCACCCAAAUUUGUACCAACCUAAACACAACAAUUUGCAUAUGACUAUGACAUAAAUAAGCAUUCAAAAACAACCAAAAUCAUGCUUAAAAAAUGUAAUAUCAUUACAUAUAACCAAUAUGAUCUUAGGCACCUCAAAUGGCCAUUUAUAACACGUGAAUCUAAGCAUUCAAUUUAUCCAAUUGUUUGACUAACUUAAAUACAUAGCUGUAUCAAAACUUACCAUAUAGUUCAUAAAUCAAAACAUAACAUUUAAUAUUAUUUAAGUACUUGAUCUCUAGCAUCAAUUUGUUAUAUAAGUCACUUUUAACUUGUACACCAAAAACACAAAUACAAAACAGUCAACAUCUAUCAUCAUUUCACAUAUGUGCUUUCCAUAACAAGCACUAAAUCAUUCUAUAUUAUAAUACAUAUUAACCUUACCAAACCACACUUCAAAUAUGAUAAGGCCAUUUAUACAUACAUAACAAGAUAUACCAAAAUACAAGCCAAUUCAAAUGGGUAAAACAUAACAAAACAUGUAGGCUAUCAUUAGCCAAAAUAACCUAUACAUGCCAUUAUAACCAAAAUUAUAAAACCAUAAGUACCAAAAUAGCCGAUAGAUAGUAUGAUGAAAUCUCUAAAAACUUCCAACUCGAACGAGCUUCCGAUAUCUAAAUACACAAAAGAAAUUUACACGAAGUAAGCAUGGAAUGCUUAGUAAGUUCGUAAUUUAAAAAUAAAGCUUAGUACUUCAUUUCAUAAGCAUUAUCCAUUUAUGUCAAUCCAAUAUGUCUUGGCCAUAGCCUAACAAUUAUAACCUCUCAAUUGUAAAAUAUUACAAUGAUUCGCAAAUCAUUUCAAAACAUCAUAACAUAAGUACACAUUACUUUUGUGCAUUCAUAUUUUCAAGUAUAUGGCUAAACAUAUUUCAAUUAUCCAAAAAUCAUACCUUUCCAUACUUUCAUAACAAUUCCAAUUAAAGUAUUUCUUGAUCUUUCAUUCUUCACAUACUCGUUUAACCACAAUUUAAGUAAGUGAAACAAGGCAUAUCACAACUCAAUUUGGCCCAAAAGCCUAACAUAUAAUCAAUAACCACGUUAGCCAUGUAUUCAUAUAAAAAUCGAGAAUCAUGUAUGAAUUCAGCAAUUAUUAAAUUUCAUGUACAUGUAACAUCUACACCGUGUAUCCAUAUAUCAUAUAUAUACCAUUUCUAUGUAAAUACCUGUACUAGUUCUUGUCGAACUUGAAUAAUCUUGUAAUAACACUAUACCCGUUGAACCACUUAGAAUAUGGUUAGAUAUGCGGGUAGUACACGAGGUGUACUGAACUGUAAUCCAUCAAUUCUUGUACAUGUAUGCUCAUACGAGCAAUAAACGAUAAGCUCAUCCGAGCUGAAUAUCGGUAAGCUUACACGAGUUGCAAAUCGGUAAGCUCAUACUAGCUGUGGUGUGUCCGCAACAUAUGCUGGACCUCAACCAAAUCGGUAACCCUAAUGACAUGUCAUGUGUAUCCUAGAAUUCUUAAGGUUCAAACGGGGCUCGGUAUUCUUCGUACAACGUUGGUUAUGCGUUCGAUAAUUAUACAUAAUAAUUAAACCAUUCACAUACAUGUAUUUCAAUUAAAUCAUAUAAAUACGCAAUUUAAUUACAUGAAAUUACCUCGACGAGUUUACGUAGAUUCGAAGGUGAUUAAAUCUGAAAUUUUCUCUUUAAUUCGAUCUAACUCCGUAUGAGGUCUAACCUGGUCUAAAUGAAUGAAUUUAAAUCAAAUCAAUACUAAACACAUUCAAUUUAGUCUAACACACAUUUUUGACAAAAUUACCAUUUCACCCCUAUACUUUUAAUUCUUUGCAGUUUAGUCCCUAGGCUCGGAAUAUGAAAUUCAUUCAAUUUUAUCACUACCCAAGCCUAGCCAAAUAUUACUUAUAGCAUCCCAUCUAUUUCACUAAUUCACAAAUUAUACCAUGAAUAUUUAACAUUUUUCAAUUUAACCCCUAAUUGACAAAUUUAUCAAAAAUUCCUUUAUAAAAGUUGUUUAUCUAACAACAACCAUUAUUUUUCUACCAUUAAACUUCAAAACCCUAACAUAUUCAUCAAUGGAAAAACUCAAAUACUUUAAUAGUUUUACAAAUUAGUCCCUGGGCUAGCUAGAUUAAGCUACAACGAUCCCGGAAACAUAAAAAUUAUUAAAAAUGGGACAAACGAUACCCACAUGCAAGAAAAAUGGGGUUGGCCGAAAGUUCAAGCUUCCAUGGCUUCUUUCUCUUUCAAUUUUCGGAUAAAUAAAGGUUAAAGAUGAUAACUUUGCCUUUUUGUUUUAUUUGUUUUGUCAUUUUUAACCAAUUUACAUAAAUUAACCUUUAUACACAUUAUUUAUUACACAAAAUGUCAAACCAUCAUAUUCCACUAUCUCUUUAAUGGGCUAAUUACCAAAUAAGAACUUCCACACCAAAGUUUUAUAGCUAUUUAAUACCUUUAGCUAAUAGAACACAACUUUCGCUCUUUGCACGAUUUAAUUCUUUUUAUCAAAUUGAACAUGCAAAUGGUAAAAUUUCUUAACAAAAUUUUUAUACUAAUAAACUAUCAUGCUGUAGAUCAUAAAAUAAUAUUAAAAUAAAUUUUAUGACCUCGAAUUUGUGGUCUCUAAACCACUGCUUCGAUUUCUCGAAACCGGAAAAUAAAUUUGUGUUAGGCUAAAAUAUUUGUAGGCCGAUUUGGGCCAAACCGAUCUGAAUAUUUCACGUCGCCCACGUCGUACGGGUGCCCCCUAACCUGUUGAGUUUGGACCUGCACCCCUUGCGCGUGAAACAAGGUUGCAAGCUUAGUCAUUCAAUUAUUUUUUAAGAGGGUUCACAUAUAUAAACACAUCUCACACUUUGUUAUUUAACUAAUGUGGGAUCUAAGCCUUUAUUUUUCCUCAACAAUAUUUCCAAGUAACUUACUUUGAGCAUCAAUUUCUCAUUCAUCACUCAACCAUUUUAAGCAUAUAAUAUACCGUUGUAAAGGUCUCGUAGAGUAGAAUAUGAAACCAUAAUUUUAUGAUUCAAUUCUUCACCUUUACCUAUUGAGAAUAUGCCUCAAAGUUCCCAUAAAAAUAUAAUUUUUCCAACAACCCCUUGUCUUAAGACUUUCAAAUAUUGAAGCUAAAAUAGGGACAUAGUGGAGGCCAGUCUCGAGACAAGACCUUUAAGGUCUCGAGACAUGCUUGCCUUAAACCAAAAAUACUAAAAAUAAAAUGAAGUCUAUCUUGAGACAUCAUGUUGAAAAAUGAUAGAUAGAGUUUGGCUUCAAAUCCUAAGCUCGUAUUAAACCUCGGUAAAUCUUUAAUUGAUUAUUGUAUGUUCAAAAAUGUAUUUGUAUGAUUAAUUCAUAUGAAAUUUUGUAUAUGUUUGAUAUGAGUUGCUUCGGCAACGUGUGAUGUCACACAUUUGGAUCUGACGAUUGAGUCGGUUGUGAAAUAUCACAGAAAGAUAACCCUUUUUUCAAUUCGUAAAGUUAUUUUAGCUAUUCCUUUAAAUUUUCGCCUCUUUUUAGCUUUUAAACUUGUGUUCUUUGUCAAAUCACUCAAAAAUAGAUGAAUGUGAUGUCAACAAUUAAUUAUUUUUUUAAAUUUUAAAAAUUAAAAAAAUAUAAAAUUACUUGCAAAUUAAAAUAUUAAAAAGUAUAAAGAAAUAUUAUAAUUUUUAAAAAAUCAAUUAUUUGCCAUACAUUAGCAAAAUUAAUAUAUAUUAACUUUUUUAUUCAUUUUAGGAUGAUUUGACAAACAAUAUAAAUGUAAUUAAAAAAUGAAAAAUAAAUGAAAAUUUUAAUUUUAAUUUUUUUUUUGUAAAGUUGAUCAUUAUCCCAUCCAUAAAAAUAAAAAUGAGGAAUUGAAAUUUUUAAUGAAAGCCACCUACACCGCCCAAAAUAAAAAUAACAAACCAUUAAUCUUUCAGCCAUCGAUAAUUUCAUCCUCUCUUUUAAUUUAUUAUAGUUACCAAUGCUAAAUGCAGUUUCCAAUUCAUAGCUAAUCACACUUCAAGUUUCCAUUGUUCGAGGUAAACCAAACGUAGUGAUAACUCUCGUAUUCAUAUAUAUUAUUUUUAUUUUAGUUCGGGGAGCCAAAAAAAUUUUGAAGGUUCAUAAUAAAGUAGUAUAUUUUUAUGAUAGCAAAAGUAAAAAUUUAUCAUUUUUAUAGUUUUUAAAUGAUUAAAUCAAUUUUUCUCAUUUUUAGGGGGUAAAGUGUAAUUUUACGAUAUACUAAUUGAAAAUUUUUAAAAUUAUAAAAGUACUAAAAGUAAAAUUUUUUAUUUUAGGGGGUUGGGGCCCAGUCCCCCUUGGCUCCGUCCCUGUUUUAGUUUACAACUGAAUUGGUAUUACGAGUAAAUUCGAUAUCAAUUUAGUUAAUAAAAUUGUUAAAAUAAUUUUACAUAUUUUGAAUAAGUUAUAUUAUUAGAAGAGUAUUUUUGCCUCUUUCUUAUUAAAAAAACAAUAAAAAUGAAAUGUUGAUACUAGAACCUAUGUCACCAUCUAUAAAAUCUUUUUUUUACCACUUCAACCAAAGUUUUAUUUUAAUAUUUCUAUACAUUCUAAUGUUGUUACAUUUAUUGUUUCACCUAUAUUGAUUGUAUAUAUGAUUAAUCUUGUCGAUUGAGUUAAUAUCACAAGCAAACUCAACAAAAUAAUUUAAGUGAAUGUAAUAUUUUACUCACAAUUUAAACUAUUUUUAUUUUAAUUAUGUCAUAUUUAUACUAUUACAAAUUCUUAGACUCCCAAUUGAUAUGGACAGCCUAAUUCUUUGCCAUGUGACAUAUCCAUUAAUUUUAUUGACAUUUGACAAUUGUAUUAUUUACUUUCCUUUUUUUAUCUACCAAGAUUCUUUAAUUAUCUCAAAUAUAUUUGCAAGGUCUUAGGUCUUACGUUACUUUUGUUUUCAUUUCUUUAAAAAAUAAAUUAUUUAAUAUUUGAUUUCAUUAAAUUACUUGCACACGAGUCUCAAUUUUUUUAUUACAUCAGUCCAAGGUUUUUAAUCAUAAAAGGUAAUUAUAUUUUUAUUUUAUUUAAAAAUCAAUAUUAAUUAAAAUAAAUAAUAAUGGUUUUGAAAAUUUUAAAAUAAUAUUUCAAAUAAUUAAAUAUGCUAAAAAUACCAUUAGUUGAAAAACACCAUUCACAAAACUUAAAAUAGUUCACCAUUAUUCAUUUAUUUUAUUAAAAAUUAAAACUAAUUUAAUAUUUAAUAAUUAAUUCAAAAAAUGAAAAUCAUAAUUAAGUAAAUACUUAAAAUUUAAAUUAAAUAAAAAUAAAUUGUUUAGUAAUUUAAAAAAGAAGGAAGUUCUACUAGUAUGUUUAAUUAUAUUUUAUGCCAUAGCAUCGGGGAAUGCGAAAUCCACGGCAUUUGCACCACAAUCUUAAUAGUGAAAGACGAAUUACAUAAAAGGUCCAAAAAGCGUAUUCAAAUUAAAACUCCUCUCAUGGAUUUCAUCGUUUAUUUUACAAAAUUUGAUAAGGUAAUUUCUAUUUUAGUUUAUUAAAAUUCCAUCCUCAAAAUUUAAUCAACACUACUAGAUAUUACUAUUAAACUGCUAAAUUGAGGACCUCAUUUUUAAACAUUAACAGCUUAAUGAUUUAUAUAAAUAACCAUAAAAUAUAAUAAUUAAAUUCUAAAAAUUCUCGACUCAAUUUAAUUAGCCAUAGUUAAUAAAAAUAUCAAAAUUAUAAAACUAAAGAUAAUUAUGUAAAUUAAAAUUUUUAUAAGCCUUUCUUAUUUUAAAUAUGCUAGGCAUUACAUUUUUAAUGAUUUUAUUUAAACAUUUCAUAUAAAAAUGAUAAAAGUCAAAAACGCAUUCAAUAUUUUAUUAAAAAGGGCCUCAAUUUAUCAACUAAGUCCCAAGUCCGUGUGAAAUUACCAAAGUAUUUAUAUCUUUAUAUAUUUUGAUAAAUUUACAAAAAUUUAUACCUAAAUAAAACAAAUUAAAAAUAUGAUCCCAAACACCAAAACUCUUGUAUUUACUUUGGAAGGGGACACAAAAUGGAAGUGUUAGAUUUCUUUCCAUAUAAAUCUCUUUCUUUUUUUUUAAGUCAGGUUUGAAUAUUGAAUAUUGAAAAAACCGCCAAUUUGUUUUUAUGUCUAAAUUGACUCUAUUACCGUUUUCCUCCCAUAUAAACACAAGGAGGGGGUAGUUCUGUUUUCUAUCUUUCAUUUUUGUCUUUCUUAUUUCUUACUGGAAAUUUCACUGGAUCUUAAAGAGGAGCCAAGGGAGAGAAAUGGUGCAAACGAUGAAAAUGGAAACACCACGAUGGUGGUGGUUUGAUACUCCUCAGAAUGGAUCAAAGCGCUCUCCAUGGCUCCAAUCCACUAUUUCUGGUAAUAAAACCCUUCUCACUUUUCGCUUAUAUAGAUUGUGCUAGCCAUUGGAGUACAAUGCUUCUUUUUUUUUCUUUUUCUUUUUUUGUUAGUGAAGCCUUCUUCAUGUUUCUUGCUAUAGUUCAAAGUUUCUUUGAAUUGCUUUCUCCACAGUAUCACUUCGUAGGUAAGGUCGAAAAGGCCCCUAAAAUCAAAAAUUUAAUUAAACCCCUCCAAAAUUUUGAAUUUAUUCAUAUACUUUUUUAAUUAUUUCUAAACUUAUUAAAGAAAUUUUCACAAAAUUUUUAAAAAUUUUAAUUAGGCUCUGCCAACACUUAUCCGAAAAUUCUCACCGGCUUGGAGAGUGAAUAUAUAUAGGUCUAACUCUAACUUAUAGGAUUCAUGAUUCAACUUUUGAAAUUAGAGAGCUCACAAGCUGGAGAGGUUGACUUGGUAACAACCUGGAAUAUGCUUGCUACUGGACCCUAACCAAUUGGCAUGAUGAGCUGCGUGACCUAUGCUAUGCUUCCCUUGUUGGAUGCUUAUUCUAUCUAAUUCGGUUUAAUCCUGUCCCCAUUCACUGUAUUUUCUGGACUUCUAAAAAUUUAAAAUUUCUUUUAAUUCUUUUUGCAGUUUUAGUCCUUUAUUUAUUUGGUUAAAAAAUUUAAGUUCAUUUAGUUGGCUUUAUUAAAUUUAAACAUAUGUUACCAAUGAAAUUUUGAUUUUUAGAUUAAAUUCUUUAGUAUUAAAACACACACAUUAAUAUUUAAUUGAAGUCUAUUAACAAUGUUAUCAGUUGAAGUUUAAUUUUCAAAUCUGAUUAGUAGAGAGAUAAAAUUUCAAAAAUCUUUAAGAAUUCAGGGACUAGUGGCAUCAUUAAAGCUUUUAAUUUCUAUAGUCAAGGAGCCGACAAGAUUUGGUAUGCACAUACGGGUAACCCUCGAUGUAUAGAAAUGUGACUCUGAAAUUGAAAAUCCCUCCAAGUUCUGUUAUUUUUCCGACUUUUUCUUUUCUCCAACAAGCGUUCACCUUUGCAGCGCAAUUCAUCAGGACUCUAAAAGCUGUCUUUUAUAAGCUAAUAAUGUAUUGCAUCCAUUGCAAUCAAGGUUAACUACAAGAGGAUUAUUCUAAAUAACAAAGUGGGUAGGACCAUGAUCUCAUUUUUUUAAUCUGGAUUUAUUUAUUUAUUUCCUUCCCCUCUUGUUGCUUGAAACAUUGUUGUUUGAUUGAAAGAUCAUACCAUUAGGAGAUUGCCAGGGAGAAACAGUAAAUUUGGCACUUUUUUUAAAUUCCCCAAAAUUUCUUUUACAAUGUUUAGUUUCUCUGUUCCCUCCAUUUGCUUAAAUGAUGAAAUGGUUUUUUAAACCAAUUUCAGAACUGGACCAUAAGACGAAGGCGAUGCCGAAACUGAUAGAGGAAGAUGCAGAUUCCUUUGCGCAACGUGCAGAAAUGUACUACAAGAAGCGGCCCGAACUGAUUUGUCUGGUUGAAGAUCUCUACCGAGCCCAGCGUUCACUUGCCGAGCGGUACGAUCAAGUUAAGACAGACCCUGGAACUCGCCUCCUAACAACGUCAGUGUCCCCAUUCUCAUCCAUGAAGACAAUAAAUGUGAUGGAUAAAACCUACGACAGUUACUCGGAGUCAUUUGGUUCGUAUGCUGCAUCUGAAGUUGAUGACCCCGAACAUGAAACAGAGGGAGAAACUGCAAAGGGAGACGGAACCUUACUUGAUGAACAAGUAAUGGAUGAAGUUUCAAAUGAGGUAUCCGAAGAUGAAUUGACGAAGUUGAGAGAAGAAAUAGAGAGGUUGAAAGAAGAGAACGAGAUUCAGAAGGCUCAGUUGAUGCAGAAAGAUGAAGAGAAGAUGGAAGUGAUUAGACAACUCAGUUUGGCUGUCCAAGUGCUCAAGGAUGAGAAUGUGGACCUCAAGAAGUGUAUUAUUAAACAAACCACCACCAAGAAAUGGAGUCCCUUUGAAUUCAGCAGUGCGAGUUUUAUUGCUCUCUAGUUUUAGUUAGGUACAUCAAAGCAAAUAGCAUAUGUAUAUCCUAUAGGAACACAGCAGAUUGGAUUAGUAAGUGUUGUAAAUUGGCCCUUUGAACUCAACUUAGGUAAUAUAUGAAUAGCAAAUGUUUUGUUUUGUGAACUCAUUAGUUAAUCCUUAAAACCUUUAUUCAGUCUCAAGAAAAAUAGUUUGGGGCAAAUGCCAUACGCUUGGUUUAACUAACAUCCAACUAAAGUAAUAUAUACUAGAAAACAAAAAGAAAGAAAUAAUAUAUAGAACAUUAAAAAAGAAAAAGAAAGUGAAACCAGUACUCCACUAAGCACAAUAAUUGGGGGUUGCCACCAAAACAGUACCUUACACACCAGAAAGCUGCUGCAAUAAGCAUAGUGCCACAAGCAACCCAAAAAACAAUGUCGAAUUUAGAACUCCAGCUGAAGCUAAAGAAACCGCAGUAGAUGCUGGUAAGGACCCAGAUGGUGAAGGUGCAAAACCAGGACCAGGAGCCAACAUACUGUCUGGGUUAGGAGGGCUAGGACUUGAAGGAAUAGUGGGGAAUGAUGACUCGGUAGGGGAAGGUGCCAUACCUUUAGGAGUAGGAAGUAAAGGCUCAAUAUCUGGGGGUAAACUAGGAGAAGAAGAUAGAGGAGCAGUUGGCAAGAAUGCUGGGGCAGCUGAUAUACUGGAGAAUUGAACUGCAUGGACUUGAGACGAAGAUAAAGCUAGUGAAGAGAAACAAGCCAUGAAAACCAUGACUGACCAAAGGGUAGCCAUUAAAUGAUCAAAGAUUGGUAACCAGCUAUGAAAGUUCAAUAAACGAAUAUAAAGAAAAGAGAGAGAGAGAGAAUAUUAGAGUAUGCAAAAAGGUGUAUAAGAAGAACGUGAUGAGGUUGAUGAUUAAGGCUUAAAGAAAAAACAGUGCUGUGGAAGUGAUGGUGGGGACUUAGGGAAAGAGGUAUAGAGAUAGAGCUGUAAGUAUGUCGACAAAAAAUGGUUGGCAAACUUAAAUUUUUAUGGUAAAAUACAGCUCCACUGAUCGACUACACGACAAUGUGGAUAUGUAAAAUUGUUGGGGCGGGAGCACAUGAAAAUGGGCUGUCUUUUAAUUUUUUUUUUCUUUUCCAUUUUCAUUGUUCUUGGCAAUACCUGUACUAUAUUAUAUAUGUAAUUGUCAUCCGUGACACUUUGCUUUUCAGUUUUGGUUCUUAGCGUAUACACAACUAAACCUAAUAAAGAAGCUUCUAAGUCAUGAUAGCAUAGAACUGGAAAUGGAGCUUAAAGCUCCUAUAUAUAUAUAUAAAGUGGGUAAAAGCGAUUGAUUUAAAGUUGAUGCUUCAUCAUAAUGGUUAACAAUAAUGGUCUACUCAACUUUGCACGUCAAUGAUUAGAAGAAUAAUUGUUAUGUGAUUUGAGACAGGCAGAAGAAAAUUCACAAAUAACAACAAUUCAUUUUUAUGGGAAAGAGAGAAAAUUUGGAACUUUUUGCUAUGAUUUGAGCAGCUUCCUCUAUUUGAAUUUUAGGAUAUUUUAUAUUACUAGUUUUGCCAUAUACACAGCAUGAGUGAAAGGAAAAAACAAAACUUACUAUCAAAAUUAUGCUUAUAAAAAGUUUAUUCAAUAAUUAAAUCAUAUGUAAAGUGGUACAGUAAUUAUAAAUUAGUCUUGUUCAGGUUUAUGCAUAUUAUUUUUAAUUGUUUUAUUUAAGCAUUUUAUAUAAAAAUAGUAAAAGCGAAAAGCAUCAUGUGGCCAAACAAAAAGAAGACUCUUAACUUAAAAAUAGUGAAAUCAAUUUUUAAGUAGAUGAAACUGGUGUUAAAUUGACUUGUAACUCUAAUUUAGUUAAUUCAAAGGUGUGAUUCGGUAGUUGCUCACAUCAUCAAUUAAUCAUGAGGUCAGGGAUUCAAUUUUUACCCAUUAAAAUGGAACACAUUUCAUAAUACAAUUACUUUAAUUUCGACCAAAUAAAAAGAAUCCAAACUCAAUUAGCACAUUAGAAUAUAAAAAGGUUAAAGCAUUUAUAUAAUUUUUACUAGUUACUCUUAUUUAAAAAAUUCAAAACAAAAGGAACAUGACUUGUUGCUCUUAUAUUAGAUGUUAAGUAUUUACUUAUUUUUUUAAAAUUUUGGCUCUUAUAUUUUUUGGUCAUUUGACCUUUAAAUUUUAAAAUUUAGUUAGAGUGUUUGCUUUUGGAUGGAAAACUAGCUGAACUGUUAAAAUUUUAAUAUCAUUGAUGUGGCCACUCGUAUUAUCCAUAAAAAUUCAAAAUAUUUUGAAAAAUCAAUAAAUUUCUAAAAGUUCAUAAAAACUUGUAGAAAUUUUAUUCAUGUUAACACUAAAAUACAUGUAAAAUACCAUAUGAUCUACUACGUCAAUGCUAGUAAAGUUUUAACAUUUCAGGCAGUUUUUCUAUCCAAAAGUAAGCAAUUUAACUAAAAUUUAAAAGUUGAUGACCAAAAUAACUAAAAAAAUACAAGUUAAAAUGACAAAAUAAAUAAAUAUUAAGACCAAAUUUACUUUUAUGCCUGAAAUUAAAAUUUUUAAUUUUUAAUAAUAUUAAGACAUUCAAAUCUUCACAUAAACAAAUGUAAGUUUAGGAAAAUAAUAGGCAUGAAGAAAAGAAAAAUAUAUUCCUUGUCCUAUUUGGUUUGAAAGUUGAGAAAAACUAUGUUUCUGGAAGAGAUUUUGUUCCCUUUAAAUGGAAAAUGUUGGUCCAGUUUCAAAAAUCCAAAACCAAAGUAGGCUGUCCGCAUAAAAUUUCAGCCCACGGUGUGUUUGUUUUUCGGAUUUAUUUAUUUAUUUUUCUGUGUUUAUUGUGUUAAAAUAAAUCCAAUAAAUAUAAAAUAUUUUCCAAGUAAAAUAAAAAAUUGAUUAGGCUGUAAGUCAACAGAGUGUUGGAUCAUCACUCUGUGUUUUGUUUGUUUAUAUUUCUCUAUCAAGUUAAAUAAAUAAAUAUGGAUAAAGUUUUGGGCACUCGAUUAUUAAAUAAAUUAAACACAAAUAUUAUUAUACCCCAUUCAAAUAAGUACAUGAGGCAAGUUGAAAGACCGCCCAAGCAGCAAAACUUGUUAGCAACUAAUCGGAAGAUCACUCACAAGUUUCACCUCUUGCCUCCACCAUCUGGACAAGUACAAGCCCUCCCAAGCCCUUAGGCUUCCGUUAGAAACAUAAUGUUGUUGGCUACUAAAUACCUCGUGGGUUCAACUGCUUUUUACCAUCAAGUAAAAAUGACAGGAUUUGACCCAUCACAGACAAUCUCGUCCCAUCUAAGAUAUCUACCCUACGCGUUUGUGGAGCAUGGUUGAGAACCAAGUUUGGUUUGGUUGGAUUAGAAUCGGCCAAUCUCUUAGUGGGAGAAAAAAUGAUAAUGAAUGAACGGUUGAUAUGCGGUUGGAGACCGCGUAUGAAAGAUUAUAAAUAAAUGAGAAAUGAAUCCUUAGACGAAUUCCUUUCAGUCUUUCAUUUUUCUCUUUUUCUUCAACCUUCAUGGCUGCUUCGAGGAAGCGAUGGUCAUAGAAAGCUCUAUAUAGAGCGACGACUAGGAGGUUUAAGUUGGAAAAGUAGGGAAACCAAUAAACCGGUAAGGUUCUAAGCCCUUCGGUAUACGUAAGACUCAGAAAAAAAAUUAAGGGUUUUAGAACCAUUUUAAGGGUUCUGCAUGUAUUUGAAAAAUUGAAGUUAAAAAAUAUGAACAUUGAGUUUAACAUAUAAAUUGGUUGUCUUGCUAGUUGCUAGGAGAAUGAAAGCUCUAGUGUUAGGAAAGGCUAAGUUGAUGAGGCAAUGAAGCAUCAGGUGAGUUUCAAUACUCAAGCCCAUAUCUAUAAAAGUAUGAUGCAUGUUUUCAUGAAUUCAUGAGUAUCUGUCAUUCUAGAUUAGAAUGCAUGAUAAAAGGAAAUCAUGAAAGAGAAUUAACGAUGGAUUAGAUGGAGUUAGGAAAGGGAAAGAGAGAUGAUUCUGCGUGCACCUGUAAUACGAUGUUUUCAUAUAAUACGGUGUUGCUGUGUGCACCUAUGAUUAGCGAAGCUCCGGGCCUUGCGGAGAGGACACUGUGUUGUUCGAGCAUCAAGGUAUAGGAUGGUAAAAUAGAGGAAUAGAUUAAAUGAAAUGGGAAGAGUAAAGAUCAUGGCGAGACUAUUAGAUUGAUCAGAGGCUAUACGCCUACAAUGAGUAAAACCAUAUCUAAAAAACGCUCUGACAUCAUUAUGGAAAUGAGUAAGACCAUGAUUGAAAAACUUUAUGACAUCAUGGUAAACAUAUGUAAGACCAUUGUUGGACUAUGGCAACCUAGGUAGUCCACCGGAAUGAUAAACACAGGUGAUAUGGUGUAAGAUCAUAACUGGAAGAUGCUAUGGCAGCAAAAGAUGAUUUGAUGGUAAAGAGAGUAAGACCAUAGUUGAAAGACGCUAUGACAUCAAAGAUAGUCCGACAAGACGUUAAACACUAGAUUUUUCAAUGGGACGUUAAACACGGGAUUGUCCAAUAGGACAUUAAAUACGAGAUAGUCUGACAAGACAUUAAGCACGGAAUUGUCCAAUAGAAGGUUAAACACGGGAUUGUCUAACGAGAUGUUAAACACAGGAUAGUUCGAUGGGAUGUUAAAUACGGGAUAGUUCGAUGGGACUCUAUACAUGAGAAGGCAGAAGUGGAAAGCCAUAGUCAGACCAUGACAACUGAUGGAUUCUGUUAUGGCAUUAAACAGAGGUACUUGCGAAGACCAUAGUUGAACUAUAGCAACAAAGGGAAAGAGAGAGAGAAAGUCCACCAGGACAAUAAACUCGGGAAGGAAUUCAGAACAUGAUCAUAAGAUAACCCGCUAAUAGGAAAAAAGGGUUGAAAGGAAAUGGGAGUAUGAACAAGUGACAGACGAGCGACUGGCUGAAGGAAUCCGCCAAAAAAUGUGAACUAAAUGGGAAUAAGAAAGGACUGUGGAAAUAGUAGUCGUGUAAACCAGAGGGGUAAGAAAUGUUAAUCAGGAAGUAGUCAUGAAAGUCGAAGAACCAAUGGUGCCUAACAUUCAAGCGUAUGAGAAAUGGUUAAACCAAGGAUCGUGGUAGAGGAUUCACCAUUAAGGAUUUUUCUAGAGUGUUUAGGAAACCCAACCAGCUUGUAAUCGAUCGAAAGUAUGCUGACUAAUCCAUAAGGAAUGGUGGGGUUAAUCAGAACCCUAAUGAUAAUAUGAGACCCCAAAAAGAGGGAAGCCUUAAAGUGACAGACUUGUUUGUCAAGACUAUUACUCUCCAAUGGGGAAGAAUUGGAGUGAUGGUAUCAGCUAAAUGGGUAGUUCUGUGAGAACCAACAAGGUAAAGAUCACUAGAACAACUAGUUAGGCGAGAAUACAAUAAGAGAGGAAACUUGUGAAUGCGGAUGAACUAAAAAACGGUGACUAAGUGAUUCAAACCUUAAUGGCCAGUAGUGAGAAGUUGUGCUACGCUGGAGGGUAAGAUAAAAAUAAUUAAGGCGGAUUAACAAGGAAGUAAUUCAGCCCCUGUUUAAGAUAAGUAAUGUUUAGUCCGCCAGGAUAGCGAGAGAUCUGUUAGUCAAACUGGAGAAAGGAAAGAUAGAGUCCGCUGAGAUGGUGAAGCGAUUAGAGAAUCUGUCCAGGCUGAUUGAAGAUCAAUAGAAUGACCAGAAGGAAAUUGUUCAAUGAUUUAUCCUCAAGUGGAUAGGUUUGAGAAUAGGAGAAGUCCACUACGAUGGUUUUAGAGGAAUGUCCCAAACAAGCAAGGAGUUAUUGUAUUAUUAUUUAAUUGAACCCCGACAAGUGGGGUACAUUUUAUGUAUCAAAGAAACUCACUAAGUUCACCUGAACUUACCAAAGUGUGGCCUCUAUUUUGCAGGAUAUACAAGAUACGGAAAUCGAGAAGGGACCAAGUCAGAUCGUAUGGAAAUCAAGGAUUUAUCGUUAGAAUAAAGUCAUGCAUAUAGGAGGGGGGCACCUUUGUAGACUUCGCCAAGUGGGGCGAUUAAGUGUAUUUGUUUAAACUUCUUCGAGUUCAGAGUUAGGACCGAAAACAUUGUAUUAAAAUUUAGACUUUGUUGUAAGUUAUUUUAAUAGGUAAUACAAAUUGUUUUAACUUAGUGAGAUUUUAGUCUGAACAACAAACCAGUUUGAUUGUGAUACCCGUACUUGGAUCCAACGAACGGAUCGAGUGAGGGUGUUAUAGACUCUCUGCUAGGGUUGUUUAAGCAGUUGAGUCAGUUAAAACCCAAACUGAAUUACAAUUAACUGAAUCACCUGAAAUGUAAAAAUCUUUAACCAUUAAUCGAACCGAUUUUUUUAAAUACAUUAAUUGAACCAAAAUAUUUCAAUUAAUUUGUUAGGUUAACUGAAUUAAUUGAAAUUUAUAUAUUUUUUAUUUUAGUUAAAAUAAGUAUAAAACAUAUAAAAAAUAAAUUACUAAUGUUCAUUAUCAUUUUUUAAUAGUUCAAAAAAUAUAUUAUAUAUAAUUUAUAUUAUUUAUUUCGAUUAAUAUAAAAAUAAUAGUUCAAAAAAUACAUUCCUAAUAUUAAAAAUCUAUUAUAUAUAAAAUAUAUUAUUUAAUUUGGUUAAUUUCUCGGUUUUGAAUCGAAUUAGUCGAUAACCGAAAUUCUAAAAAAUCAUUAACAGACCUUUGAUCGAACUAAAUUCGACUACGACCGAUUAACCGAAUUAGAUCAGUUAAAUCGGUUAAUUCAGUUUUAAUCGAACUGUGAACAUCCCAACUCUCUGCCUCGUCUGGGUGAUCGGCCUCGUGACAAUCACCAUACUCUCUUUCAUAUUCUAUUCAUGUUGCAUCACAGUAUUGACAAAAUAUUAAUGAUAUUUAAAGGUUAAAAUAUAUCAUAAGCCUUUGCACUUUUCGUAAAUUUGAAAUUUAAUUUUUAUGCUUUUUAUUUUUUAAAAUUCAAAAAUCAUGCUCAACUAUUAGCAACCUUAAUUUUUUAAUUAUAUUACUGCCAAGUGAUUAUAUUUUUUAAAUUUCAAAAUGUUAUACUAGCGAGUUCAAUAAUGUUAACAAUUUAACUUGAAUUUUAAAAUUUAAAAAAUAAAAAAAAACUAAAUGUUUAAAAAUAAAAAUAUGAGAAUUAAAUUCUGUAAAAAGUUGAAUUUAUUUUAAAUGAACAACGGAACAACGAAGGCAAAGAAGGCGUAGGCCUAGCUAGGCCACUGCAAAAGCUGUCUAUUAAUUGAAACUAUUUCCACCUGACACCUUCCUAAUUUGGGGCCCACAACCCACGUGUCAUCCUCUAAACUAAUCUGUUUAGUUGCAGCCACUGUCGGCCGGCCAAAUCCACAGUAUCACCUGCAGCCAGCAUAGCUUUCCUCAACCCGGUUAAACACAGUCCGGUCCCGUUUGUUUACGUUUCAAUUUCAGUUCAGCGUUGCGGUUUAACGGAGAUCCAUGUGAUUAACAGCCAAGACCGCGAAACAGUGAUGUAGUAGGAACACUGUCUUUUCACUUUUGUCGCCUUGCCUACCUUACCUUCUUUUCACAUUGAUUGUGGGUUUUUGGAGUUUAGACGUGUCGUUUUCCCCUCCGUAAUUGCUCCAGCUUUUUUGUCGUUUUUUGUUUACUCCAUUACAGCCCAAAUAAAAACCUUGCAGAUAUAUACACGCAUAUAUAUGUAGAUAUGUGUAUGAAUUUGAUCAAAUCCCAUUGCUUUUAAGGGAUAUAGCUAGGUCUCUAUAUGUAGUGCAAGCUAGCAACCCUUGGAUGGAUGCUUCACAAAUCACAUUGUACACUUGAAUGGUAAAAGCUUAAGCCACCUAUAUCUAACCCCACCAUUGCAGAUAAGCCAAGGGCAAGGGCGUGGUUCAGUGAAUCCAUCACAAUGAAAGAGAAACCCCCCCGCCCCCCUCAUGUGAUUCACAAGCUCACUUAGCAUAUAGGUCACUUGAUAUUAUUGUUUUAGUUGAUAAUUUAAUAUAAUAAUAAAUAAAAUAUAUACUGAUCUAAAUUUUUAAAUAAUUAAUAUAAAUAAAAAUAUUAAUUUGUAAAAUACAAAAGUCAAAUUGGAAAAACUCUUUUUAACAAACAUUUCUAACUCCAAAACCCAGGUAUUUGACGUUACUUUUAAAGCUGAGAAGUACUGUAGCGAGGCCUUAAUCGAAUUUUACUCAACAUUGGAAAAGGGUUGAAAAGAAGAGGCGGAGAAUGACAUGAAAUUCAAUAGGGGAUAAGCGCAUUUGCAUGAAAAGGGCAAUGGGAAAAAAAACACGUAGUACACAUCGAUGCCUAAAGUAGCAAAUAUCGCCAGGAAUCAACGACAACGACCCACCCUCCAAACAAAGCAAAGGGAGAAACAAGACAAAAUCUGUAUUACUGACGUUAAACAAUGUAUCUUAAAAGUUAAAACCAUAAUAAUCAUAGUUGAAAAGUUUUGUACUUAAUUACGUUACUCUACAGGAAAUGUAUCGUCAAAACUGAGACCUUUUUGUCUUCUCUUACAUUGCAUGCACUUUGAGGUAAACGAUAAAAACGUUUUUGCAUUAAGAGAUGAGGGGCAAUAGAGCCUAGAGGGGGCCAGGUUGUUGAAAGUGAGAGCUUGUUUCUAUGGUGACACGACCUAGCCGCCUGAUUCUCGAGGUGUACGUACUCCUUUUAGUCAAUUUUUUUUUGUCUUUUUCCUUUUUAAUUUCUCUACAUAACUUUUACUUACACACACCCUUUUGCCUUCCCCUUCCCCUUCCACUCUCGUUUUAUUUCCUGCAUCUUUCCUUAUUCCGGGAAAGAAGCUUCUUCUUUUUUCUUUGUAUAUACUCCAUCUUUUGGGUUAAGAAAAGAGAGAAAAAGCGGAAGAUAAAUGGACGGUGAACGGAAUGGUUUGAAGGCUAAGGUCCCAUUUCACCCCAGAAGACGUAUCAACGUCUAUGGCUUGCCGUUGCUUCCUCCGAACAAUCAAGGUUUUAUAUCUUCAUUUCUGGCACCAACACUCGUUUAUCAAGUAUCAAACAUGUUUGAUAAACUUGAGUACUGCUAGCAUUUUAAAAUCUGCUUAUUGUAGAAUGAUGUGAUGACGGAGUAGUAUCUAUGUUUUUUUUUUUUUUGCGCUUGAACUUGUUGGUCGAAGAUUAUUUCUUUUGUAUUUCGUUUCAACUUUCAGCCUUAUAUGCAAUGUAGUACACGACAAACAUUGGAAAUUAAUUAACCAAUCAAUCAUCUCAUUUAUGUUUUUGUCCUAAUUCUUGGCUCUGUUGGUCUGUAGAAUGGGUCCCAAAUGUUUCGAUUUGUUCAUAUCUCUGAUUAUCAGAACUUUUUUUUUCUUUUGUUUCAUUUAGAUUGGUUUUUAAGUGUUAUGGCUUGAAUUUGUGUGUGAAACCAGGAGAAAAAGAUGAUCUACAUGUUGAACUAUGGCAUGCAUGCGCUGGUCCUUCAGUUUAUGUGCCGCGCGCUGGGGAAAAGGUUCUGUAUUUCCCUCAAGGUCACAUAGAACAGGUAUAAGCAAAUCUUUUACUCUACUUAAUUAAAUCAAAUAAUUAAUUAACCCCAUUUUUUUUCUCUUAUUCAAAAAAAAGAAGGAAAGUAAGAAAAAGCAUUUUGUAUGAAUAAAUAUAUGCUUGUGCAUUCAUCUGUUUGAUGACUGAGCUUUUGACACAGCUGGAUGCAUGUAUGAAUCAAGAUGGGAUAAUGGAAAUGCCUAUCUACAAUUUGCCUUCUAAGAUCCUUUGCAGGGUGAUGCAUGUUCAGCUUAAGGUAUCCGCUAUAAAUGUACCUUUAAUUGUUUCCUAAUGACUUUGAUUGGAACAAUGGAGAGCUUAGACUUUCAGGAGGUUAAUAUGCAAAUGCAAAGCUCAUCAUAAGUUGUUGUUUUUGAUGCGUCUUUGCCAUAUUGCAGGUUGAACCUGGCACAGAUGAGGUCUUUGCACAAAUAACACUGAUUCCAGAAGCAGAGGUUAGAUAUUGAAAUGCUUAGAGUAAUUGUUUUUCAUUUACUUUGCCUUAGAAUCUCCCUAUUAUCUUUUACCUAAAUGCUUUUCUGCCUCAAAUAGCAAGAUGAGGAAAGUUUGGAGCAUAGAAAUUAUCAACCUUUACCCCAGAAAGCCUAUCCAGUGUUCUUUAGUAAGAAACUCACUCCAUCAGAUACAAGCACACAUGGCGGAUU